CUGCUGGCAGUGCCUCAGGUUGUCUUGCUUUUGGAUCUCCUGCUCGCAUUGUUGUUGUUUCCCCCCUUAGCCUCCACCACGACCUUGGUUGGUCUCCUCGUCGAUGACCACUGUGGUUCGGACGGAUGCGUCGACCACGAUGAGGAAGAGGAACGCCGCCACUACGGGUGCUAGGCUCAUCAGCUUUGCCAUAGUUAGGUGAUUGGGUUUUAAGUAGUAAGUGGGUACGUAAGUGUGGUGGUUUUGGUGAGAUGGGGUUUAAUGGUAGGUACAUAUAGUGGAGCUUGAGGAGGGAGGGUUUAUUUUGCAUGCAGAGUACGUGUUGGUUUUGCCCAGAGAAGAUGGAUGACGACAUUGACAGGACACGUUGGUUUUGUGGGUGUGUCCACGUAGUAUUUUUCUUUUUAACCCAAGUUGUGUGUACACGUAAUAUUGAUUAUUAUAUUAUGCAUGCAAAUGAAGCCAUUUUAUGUGCAGUGCGCCGCGUAAGUUUGGUGAUGACGAGUGUUAUAUCCUACUUGUCCUGUCUUGAACACUUGCAUUUCCACUUGGUGUAGAUUUCUGUCGACUAUUUUUGUGUUUCGGGUAAAAUGGUAAUUUUCAUAUUUUUAUGCUUUUAGGAGAAAUAUAUUUGAAAAUUUGUUUAUUUGAGGAAAAGUGGAGUGUAAAAUACUAAAACUGAUUAAAGGGUAUAAAAUAUUUUUAUCCGAAACAAAUUUAUAAUUGGUUCUCUCCAUUUUUAUACAUAUUUUAACCAUAAUUACCAAUUUUAUUUCAGUUUGUUAGUUAACUGAUAUAUAUUACUUUGUUGGUUGGUUAAUAGAUUAACCUAUUUUUCAUAAAAUUAUAAUUAAUAAAAAAAUUGAGUUUUUGAAAUUUUGAGCUUUCUUGUAUUAUGUUGGAACUUCUUGUUCCAUUGCAAUAAAAUCAGUUAUAAAAAAAUUACAAACGAAGUGCACCAAGUAAUUACCCACCUCAAACAGACUCUCACUUACUCAUAGUAGGAUCAAUAUUUUCCUUCGGCGAUAAUCGUUCCUCCACUAUGUAGGUCAUUAUUUUAAUUUUUGGUGAUUUAUUAUGUGUCUAAUUUUAAAAAUUAAUUAUUCGAUAAAUAUUACUUUUAUGUAUUGUUAGUUUGUUUUGGAAUUUUAAAGUUUGAGUUGGUCUUAAGAGUUAUCUUGUUUAACCGAUAUUAAUUGUAAUACUAGAAAAAUAAAGCUUAUAAAAAACCUUUUAUUUGUACAUAGAUAGGGGAAUCGAAGAAGAAAAAAAUUCAAAGUUUAAAUUAUUUAUUUUAUAUUUAUGUUAUUUACUUUAAAUUUUCUAAUUUCUAUUAAAUAUUAAUCAUAUACGUCAAAGCGUAAUAUAAUGGGCACCUUACACAAACAUUCGAUAGAAGGGAUGUGAAUAUGAAGGGACCAAAGUGAGAUCUUGCCCUCAGCUCCUAGUGCGCCUCUUGCUGGUUGCUCCACGUGUUAAUCCAAGUGGCGAGAAAAGGAGAAUAAUAACGCAAAAAAACAGGCCAAGUAAGAUAAUCCAAGUGUACACUUGUCAUCGCCAAACUUACUAAAAUACGCGGCAAAUUGUAUACCCACACAUUAUUACCAUACCAUAUAUUGGCUGCAUUUGCAUGUAUAAUACUACGUGUAAGCUCAGAAAAUUCCACGUGUCGCCCAUGCAAAAUUAACACUCACGACCCAUUCCUAAAUCUCCACUAUAUAAACCCCCACUCCCCCAUCUUACCAAACCCACCACACAACUCACAACUUAGAAAAACCAAUCAUAACCAAAAUGGCAAAGCUGAUGAGCCUAGCAGCCGUAGCAACGGCAUUCCUCUUCCUCAUUGUGGUGGACGCAUCCGUCCGAACCACAGUGAUCAUCGACGAGGACACCAACCAAGGCCGCGGUGGCCAAGGUGGGCAAGGACAGCAGCAGCAAUGCGAGAAGCAGAUCCAGGAGCAAGACUACCUGAGGAGCUGCCAGCAGUUCCUGUGGGAGAAAGUCCAGAAGGGCGGCCGCAGCUACUACUACAACCAAGGCCGUGGAGGAGGGCAACAGAGCCAGCACUUCGAUAGCUGCUGCGAUGAUCUUAAGCAAUUGAGGAGCGAGUGCACAUGCAGGGGACUGGAGCGUGCAAUCGGCCAGAUGAGGCAGGACAUCCAGCAGCAGGGACAGCAGCAGGAAGUUGAGAGGUGGGUCCAGCAAGCUAAACAAGUCGCUAGGGACCUUCCGGGACAGUGCGGCACCCAGCCUAGCCGAUGCCAGCUCCAGGGGCAGCAGCAGUCUGCAUGGUUUUGAAGUGGUGAUCGAUGAGAUCGUAUAAAGACACUGCUAGGUGUUAAGGAUGGGAUAAUAAGAUGUGUUUUAAGUCAUUAACCGUAAUAAAAGAGAGAGAGGCUGAUGGAAUGUUAUGUAUGUUUCUUGGUUUUUAAAAUAAAUGAAAGCACAUGCUCGUGUGGUUCUAUAUGUAUGGUGUUCCUUCCUGCCAACUGUUGAAUUAAAAAACUGAAGGUUAAUUAAACAGCUGGACAACCGUUGACCUGGAUUCUAGAAGUGAAAUUACCGGCCUUGCGUUCAUGAGUGAGCCGUGGAGCUGACGUGGAGUUUUGUCUUAUACGCACUGACAAGAAAAAAUAAAAUAUUUGAAAUACGAAAUUGCCCCUCCUAUCACAAAAAUCCUGGAAUCCUGAAACUAAUAUCCGCUGGAUUCUAAACUAUUCUCCUUGGAGUUGAAAAUGUAUUUUUUACACUUAUGUUGUGAAUGGCGGAAUGAAAUGUCUUUUUUUUUCGUACAUAAUAAAAUAAAAAACUCAAUUAUUUAAUAAAAAAGUCUAUGAUAAAGAAAACAUAUUUAUAAUAUAUUAACCAAAACACGGAUGAUAACUACCUGUUUAGACCGGUUCUCCGCCCUUUCCGAUCAGGAGGUGAGUGAACCUAAAUCUCGAAUCUAUUUCUCAACUAAUGUCUCUCUCCCUUUGCAGACACGCACUGUGAAUAUCCUGGGUAUUCCGGCGACAUAAAAUUUGGGUAGAUAUUUUGGUGUGCCGCUCAUCCACGAUAGGAAUUGACUUGGCUUGAAGGUGAAAACUCUUUCUCUCGCUGGACGGGUUUCGCUAGCCCAAUCUCUAGUUAAUGCCUUGCCCACUUACGUCAUGCAGACAACCUUUAUUCCAUUUGAUGUUUGUGGCCGGUUGGAUAAACGGAUACGUGACUUCAACUGGGGCUCUGAAGGAGGUGUGCGCAAGAUGCAUCUAAUUAAUUGGGAAACUAUAUGUAACCCUAAGAGUGAAGGAGGUUUAAGGCUGAAGAACGGAUUUUACCCUACUAAUUAAAUUGAUUAUAUUAUAUAAAUCAAUUAACGGUGAAUGAUAGUGUUUGUUUUUUGAAGUAUUUAAUUAUAAACUAAGAGUGCAGAUCAAAAGAAAGCAAAUGUAAGAGAUUGAGUUUCAAAUGUGGAAUGAAGGUUAUUCGGAUUCGAAUCCAUUAAAACUGGCAAUGCAUAGAUGAACGACAAGUUAUCUCAAUUAUUCAGGUUAUCUCAAUUCUUCAAUUGUUGAUGUUCUCUAAAUUCAAUCAAUCUUUGGAACCUUUCUCUCUCUAUGAACUCGAAAAUAUGUAUGGAAUAAAGUCUAUGAAUUAUGAGGAAGAGCUGGACUUUUAUAAAGAAGGAUUCCUUAAGUCUGUCGGAUACCAAAAGUGCGCCCAAUAUAGACCAAAAGUGCGCAGCGCACUUUUAGUAUAUAUAAGGCGCACUUUUGGUAUAAAUGUCAGAGACCUUACAUCCGAUUUAGGACCAAAAGUGCGCUACGCACUUUUGGUACAUGUUAGGAGCAUUUUUGGUCUUUAACGCCGAUUUGGUGAUUUUCUCCACUCGUUGAUGCAUCCAGCCCUUGCAUUUCAUACAGUUCCGAAUGAUUCUCCGAUGUCGCCGUGUUCCUAAAAUCGAUUAAAAACACUACAAAAAAACAUCAAAUGGACCCCGAACGGGUCCGAGACACUAAAUCGAGAUAGAUGCUAAAAAUGCACAAGACAUCCUAAACUUCUAUCCAAAACUAUAUAAAUGUACAUAAAAUAUUGCUUAAAUAAAGACGAUGAACAUGACAAAUCAAGUGUCAUCAAGGGUUCAGAAGUGCAAAGGAGCUGAACAAAGCUUAUCUAAUCAAAUUGAUCUGGUCCUAAUGAAGUUGCCGACCGAGCUUUGGGCUCAAGUCUUACUCACUAAGUACAUGAAGAAAACGGCUCAAAUCUUACUAUCUGGAAAGGUAUUAACGAGGCUUGGCCGAUCUUCCGAUCAAGCCUGAUUUGGGGUAUUAGGAACGGACGGAGGGUGAAUUUCUGGUCUGAGAAAUGGCUUGACAGUGGCUGUGUCUUGGGUGAUGAAGUGAUUGUUCCCCAAGGGGAAGAAAACAAGAUGUCGGCGGAUUACUGUACCCUUGAUGGUGGUUGAGAUUACCCCAAGCUGCAAGCAAUCGUCCCUCCAGAGUUUUUUUAACCGUGUUAUUGGUAUGUCUUCUCCUUACAGUGAACUUGAUGAAGAUGUCCCUUGCUGGCGAUUGAAACCAAAUGGUGAGUACUCCAUCAAAUCAGGCUAUGUUUUGGCUAAACAAAAUGGUAGCGUGACUGGUGACCGUACCUGGAAAAUGAUUUGGAACUGGGCAGGACCACAACGUGUAAAGCAAUUUCUUUGGAUUGCCUAUCACGACAGACUGCUUACUACGGUUGAACGUUAUUGCCGACAUUUAUCCUCUGAUAAGGACUGUGGUCAAUGCUCAGGUAACUCGGAAACAAUUUCUCACAUUAUGCGUGAGUGCUCUAUUGCUAAAGAAAUCUGGUACCGGUACUCAAUAUUCCAGUUUCUAGCCUUUUCUUUACCAUUCCGAUGAAGAAUUGUGUUGGGUUGGUCCAACUACAUAUGGUGGUUGGAUUAACCGGUUUUUUAAGGAUGAGUGAUAAUUUGUUUGGUUGUGUUAUCUUGAACUUAUUGGGAAGUUCAAAAGUAGUAUUCUAGAAAUCUCUAUUAUUAAAUAGAGAGAUUAUUUAUUUCUGAAAUUACAAAGAAGAAAGUGAAGUGUGAGUGAGAGAGCAAAAGAAGAGAGGAGAAGGAAAAAUAAGGUUGCUGGAAAGUUUUCGUUUUCAGGCAGGUCAGUCUGUUCAAAAGAGCAUUCCGGAGAAACACGCCGUUGGAUCGUCCUGAAAUUUGGUGUGCUUGUUCAGGACGUUUUGGGCUUCAAUCUGGCCGGAGGGAUCGUUGUUCUGAUCUCUGGUGUAUCGGGAAACGCUGCUGUACAGAAGGUCAAUAAAUCUGUUUGGCCUCUGGAAUUUUUUCUCUUCAUCUUGUCGAGUUGCUCUUGUUAUCCAUCGCAUUGGUGAGUAUCGAUUGUGGUGUAUUGGUGAUCCAAGAAGGUUGUUCUUGAGGUAAUUUGUAAUCCUCUAGCUAUCCUAGAGAAGACUUGUAAUCCCACCAAAGUAUAGUGGAGUUGUUGCUUGGACUACGGUCCCGUGAUUUUUCCCGAUUUGGGUUUUCCACGUAAAAAUCGUCGUGUCUCGCUCGUUCUAUUCUUAUUUGAUAUUGCUGCCCCGUUUCUCAAUAAAUUGUUGGCAGUUCAAUCUGGAUUCUUCUUCCCAUGCCACUAUGUUGGCUUUACCUGCUGGCUUCUGUGGAAAGCUAGAAACGAGGAGAUUUUUGAAGAUAAGUGCCGGCAUUCGGCCGAUAUUGUUGCAAAGUGUAAUUUCUAGUUCAGCACUACAGGAAACGCACAGGAGGAGCUUAUUUUUCUCAAAAAGCAAUUUGUUCCACGUCGAGAAGUCAUGCCUAUGGGGUGGUGUGCUGCUCCUCCACCUCUCUUCACUCUCAAUAUCGAUGGAUCGAUGAUUUCCACUACAAACAAUGGCCAUGCUAUUGAAGCUUUUUCCUGCAACUUGGGUCUUGUACAAUAACCAGAGCAGAGCUGUACGGGGUCGUGGAGGGCUUGGAACAUGCUUAACGCCAGGGAAUCGUUCUAUUGAAGUCCAGAUGGACUCUCGAGCCGUCCAGAGCUGACGGGACUAUUCAACAUCAACACAAAGGCCUUGUUGAAGGAUUUCGGAAGUUGUUGAAGCAUGAUUGGGUGGUCUUGUUGAAGCACGUGUAUCGUGAAGCAAAUCAUGUGGCCGAUUUCUUGGCUAACCUUGGGCACUCCUUGGCGGUGGGGAGUCAUAGUAUCCCUAUGACAAAUAUUACUUUGUAGAACUGGCUUAUGUACGACAGGCUGGGCUGCUCGAAAGAUCGACGGAUUCUCGUAGUGUAGCUCUUCUUUUGCUUAUUUCUACAAAAAAAAAAUAUUACUGUUUAUAACGAAUUAUGAUUCUUAAGCAUUGGAGAACACAUUAAUUAUGAUUCUUAAGGAUUGAAGAAUACAUUUAUAGUUAAAAACAAAUCGCGAAGAUAUUUUAUAUUUGAAGCAUUUGGAGAACACAUUUCAAAUUAAACUAGCACAGAGAAAUCAAAUAUGAAUAUAUAUAUAGUACAUAGUAAUAAGAAUUAAAACAACUUGUAAUUAUUCCCUAAGCAAAACAUGCCGUUUACAAGUUUUUAAUUUGUAUCUAAAUAUUUAGAAAAAUUCACGCUUGUGUUACAUUUGCGCAGAUUAUCAAUUUUUUCACAUUAUGUACGUGAAUAAAAUGAAUUAACGUAAAUAUAUAAUUGAUAUUUUGCAUGAAAAAAAGCACUUGCUUGCUGUGCUGGCUGCAUUUGCAUGUACACACUACGUGGACGGUGGAAGUCUAGAAAACCCCGACGUGUCGUUCUUCUGCUCUGACGAAAACAAAACACGUACUCAACAUGCAGUUAAACAUAGCUUUCUCCUCCUGUCGUCCACUAUUUAAACUCAAACCCACACUACGUACGUACAGCUACACAGUGAAUUUUUAUUAUAAGCAAAACAAUGACAAAGCUGAGGAUCGUCAUGAGCUUGGCAGCUCUAGCAGCGGCAUUGUUCCUGUUGGUCUUCGAUGCAUCCCAAGUCCGAACCAUGGUGAUCGAGGAGCCCACUAACCAAGGGCAGCAACAUCAGGAUUGUGGGCAGGAGAUCCAGCAGCAAGACACUCUGAUACACUGUCAGGACUACAUGUGGGAGCAGGUCCAGAGAGGAGGCAGUCGACAGGGGCAACCACACUUCGAGACUUGUUGCGAUCAGCUGAGCGAUCUCAGAGUCGAGUGCACAUGCGAGGGAUUGGGGCGGGCCAUCAACCAGAUGCAGCAGAAGCCGCAGCAGAGCGGCCAAAAGUGGUUUGUGGAAGCUCUGGACCUCGCCAGGGACCUUCCUAUCGAAUGCAGCAUCGCCCCUAUCCGCUGCAUUUGGGGUACCCUAAUACGAUGAUCAGGAUGAUGAUGAUCAAGUGUUUGUUAUCAUGCUUACUUAUGGUUGUGUGUACUAUUCUGGAGCCGAUGUUUUGGUCACUCUUUAAUUAAUAUAAGAUCAAUUUUAAACUCUCUUAGUAAUUUUUUACUUUAUUAUAAUAGAGUAAUUUAUAGAUUCUUUCUCCAAUUAAGAUAAUUAGAAUCUUUCACGCGAUGUUGCAGAAAAUUUUAGAUAAAUUAAUUUUUUAUUACAGAAAAUGUAUUAGUAAAAUAAAAGCGCGAAAUAAUUGAAGACAUGUUAAUUUAAGAAGGGAAAAUACCACAAGACUUAUAAAGGGUAAUAUGUAAACUCAAAAUAAAUCCAUGUAAACUAAAAAAAAGUCCCAAUAAACUCAAAAUAAAACCCCGAUAAACUCAAAAUAAAUCCAUGUAAACUAAAAAAAAUAACUAGUUAUAAUAAUGUAUAUAAUUUAAAAGAUAUAACUAGUUAUAAUAAUGUAUAUAAUUUAAAAGAUAUAACUAGUUAUAAUAAUGUAUAUAAUUUAAAAGAUAUAACUAGUUAUAAUAAUGUAUAUAAUUUAAAAGAUAUAACUAGUUAUAAUAAUGUAUAUAAUUUAAAAGAUAUAACUAGUUAUAAUAAUGUAUAUAAUUUAAAAGAUAUAACUAGUUAUAAUAAUGUAUAUAAUUUAAAAGAUAUAACUAGUUAUAAUAAUGUAUAUAAUUUAAAAGAUAUAACUAGUUAUAAUAAUGUAUAUAAUUUAAAAGAUAUAACUAGUUAUAAUAAUGUAUAUAAUUUAAAAGAUAUAACUAGUUAUAAUUAGUUAUAAUUGAUCACGGACAUCGAAAUCUCAUAAGAAAAUCCACUGGUCCGACAUCGAAAUCUCAUAGGAAAAUUCGCCGUCCGGUCUACAGAGACUCAUCAACAUCGAUGCCGAGACAGUGGCUUUUAAAAAAAAAAUAGAGUAACAUAAUUUAAUCAAGAGGACAUAAAUAUCCUUUUGAUACAGAGCGUUCGAUCAAUUCAAGAAUCAUAAUUCUUAAAUUUAACGGCCAAAAAACGUUAUAAAUAUCUUAAAACCCGUGCAAUCCUCGAUUCCAAAUAGCUCCCCUCACCUACUAUUCACCUAUGUUUUUUUGUGGUCCAAUCCCGUAAAUAUGGCUUAACCAUCAAUCUUUUCCUAUAAAAUGAGGGUCAUUGCUGGGUGAAAGAUUUCGUCAAUGUUAAGAGGAACUUUAAUCAAGUUAAAUGAUGGGAUUAAUCUGAAACUACCGUACAGGGUCUUCAAGUGGCAAGGGAAGGGCUAUCUAAAGACCAAAUUUCACAACAACUUCCCAAAAUCCACGUGGCAAGGGAAGGGCUAAAAUACAGUAACCUAAUCCUUACGUGUCAACCACGUGUCAACCAAAACCAACACGUAGUCCUCCAUGCAAAUUCAAACCUCCAACCCCUCUCCUCGUCUCACCACACACAACUCUGUUGACAAAACAAACCAAAUAAACAACCGAAAUGGAAAAACUGAGCCUAGCAGCCAUAGCAGCGGCAUUCCUCCUCCUGAUCGUGGCCGAAGCAUCGGUCCAAACCACGGUGAUAAUCGACGAGGAGGUUUCCAACCAAGGUGGCCAAGGGUAACAACAACAACAACAGUGUAAGCAGGAGAUCCGGCAGCUGGACAACUUGAGGCACUGCUACCAGUUCAUUAGGCAGCAGGCUCAGCAGCAACAAGGUCAACGCCAGAGGGACGACGACAACUACUACUACUACAACCAGCAGGAACAACAACAACAACAACACUUCAAAGAAUGCUGCAACGAGUUGAAGCAACUCAGCACCCAGUGCACUUGCAGGUUCGACCCAAAUCAUUUAGUCGAUUACUCGACCAAAUUAUAUAUUUUGAUUAUACAACCAGUUUGAGGGACUGUCCCAAAACAACUGUCCCAAUACCAUUAUAGCAGUCGCUAAUAAGCCAAAACGGUUAUCAGUGACCUUCAGUGACCAACACGAAUCUGACUGAAUGUUGUUUGUGACGUGCAGGGGACUUGAGAAGGAGAUGAAACUGCUGCAGGGUGGGCAGCAGGGGUUGGAGCAAGUUAGGAGGGUGGUUGAAGCUUCAAUAGUUUGGAUGGAUGUGCUUACUUGGAACUAUUUAAGGCCAAACCGGCACGGGUUAGGACAAGCUCGCCUUGUCUCCUCGGCCCACCUCUAGCCAUUCACUCCUUUAUCAGGAGACGUGAAUAGCUUUGCAUGGACCAUGAGUCUCGCUCAAGGGUACCAAUGUUCUGGUCCUAUGUCUUGGCUCAGGCGCAGGGGAAUCCCAUGCUUACAUGUGUCCAUGAAAUUGAUCGUAAGGCGGCUUACCUGUAACCCCAGUGCUUAUGACAUAUUAACUCUUCAAAGUCGAACCAUGGUCCAUCUGCUAGUUGGGUGGAACAAGUUCUCGGACUGAUUUGGAGAUUUUCUUAGUAACAUCUUUCUGAACGUCGCUGGGCCCGAAAUAAUUUGGUUUAAAACUUUCGAGACCAGAAAACCAUCCAAGCCCAAAUAAUAUCCACGAAGCCCGAUAUUCACUGUCGCAACUCGGCCCAACCAAUACCCCCUACACAUUUCCCCUCCACAGACUUUGACAAAAAUUAUAAAAAGAGAGGAAAUUAUAAAAAAUAUUCAUUUUGUGGGUCGUGUUGGAUUCAAAUGAGACGACCAAACAUUGGAGAACAACUCUUAUCUCAAACACAAUCGAAUCUUAAAGACAUCGAAUAAACAGUAAUAUUACAAACAAUAAUUGCAAAGGGAAGGAAAGGAAUUAAUUAAGAUGAGACAGUAACGUAGUUCCAACAAAUUAAAAGCCCACAAUUGACAAAGAUACAUAAUACACACUACACAGACUGUCAAGUCUUUGUUUUCAACAUUGAAGCCACCAAAUUACAACCGCACUGAUCAGCUAGCUUUUACGUAGACAAAGCUGCUGGGUCUACCUUUUGAAACUGAUGAACAGUCACUAAUUUCCCUUCUGGUCCCUCAUCUUGCAUUCAAUACCCACAACAGUUCUUUCAAGAAUUAAACACGACAUUACAAUCCAUCUCUACACGGCGGGACCUGAUGAGGUGUGGUGGCUCCUGAAAGACGCAAUAGCCUUAGCAGCACCCGCUCUCAAUAUCGACUGGUAGAAGAACGCCGCCCCUGCCGCUCCGAUGAAUGGUCCCACCCAGAAAAUCCACUGCAACAGCAUGUAAUGAUAUGUUAAAACCAAUGUUGAAUUUUCCAGUAGUUCAGGGAACCAAAAUGGUUCAUGACCAAUCAACACACAGAGACACGAAACAUUAUAACGUACAUGGUCGUCCCAGGAUUUCUCGUGGUUGAAGAUCACGGCAGCGCCGAAACUCCUGGCCGGGUUGAUGCCGGUGCCAGUGAUGGGAAUGGUGGCCAAAUGCACCAUGAAAACAGCAAACCCGAUAGGGAGUGGUGCAAGAACCUGCCAGAAAUUUGAAAUUUGAGCCACAAAACAGAACCAAAGCCCAGUUCAAUAAAUGAGCAGAACACGUCAAAAAAAAAAAGAAAUGGGUUGGAAUGAAAAGGUAUGGUCUGCCGACAUAGAGAGACUACUGUCUCCCCAUGUGAGAUUUUAACUCCACACAUGAAAGCAACCAUGCACAAUGACAAAGAAACGAAAUUUAUGAUAAAAAGACAGCUUAUAGUACGUAGAAAUUAAUAAUCCGGUGGAUAAAAGAAUAGUUAUAUAUGGGUUGGAACAGGAGAGCACUGCUCAACCAUUUUUGUGAAAGAGAAGAGAAAGAUUCCAAAAUGGUGGAUGCAGAUUUUGGUACACUAUACUAAAGUAAACUGCAUCCAGCUGACGCUUUCACUACUAAAGGGUUCAAAAGUGCGGGCCGUCACUUAAGUUUGCGCUCUGUAACAUCGGAACUACCUAACUUUUAACGUGGGAAGUUGCGGUUAUAUAUAUCUAACUUUGGUUUUAUGUAACAUAUAACGGUGUUUAUGUCUAUUUCCGGUCGUAUUUUUUCACCUAAUAAAACUCAGUAUGCCAUGUCAAUCAAGAUAUUAUUAAAAACGAUUUUCAAAUCACAGUAAAAUCAUAUUAAAAUCUUCGAAUUAAGACAAUUUAAAAUGGAUCUAAAUCCUCGAAUAUGAAAUCAAAUUAAGCGAACAUGAUAAUGGAAACCGAAGAUAUCAAUUUAGAUUCAUGUGGAAGGCUGCAUUCUGAUUUAGUACAUAAACUACUAACAUAAGUGGACGGAUGUAUUAUUAUGUUAUGCAAAUCAAAGUUGGAUGACUCCUACAUCACAACGGAAAAGAUAAGUGGUCACUCGUUGACAUAGCCGAAAGUUGGGUGACUACUUCUGACUCCCUAUAAUAAAUGUAAAGCUGGAAAGGCAAAAUAAUGAAAUAUCAACCACAGGAAAAUAGCAUCAUUAUUAUUUUUUAUUCAUUACUCUUCAAGCUGAAUCUAAUUCGAAAUGUACUUUAAAUAAAAAAAUGUAUUAAUAUAAUUACGCAUUUUUGCCCUUUUUAUUAGAUUUAGAAAUGCAAAGAUACUAAUUAAUGAUAUGCAAAGAUACUUAAUUUAAUACAAUUAAAUUAAGAAAUAGUACUUACGGGGACGUGGGAGUCGCGAGCGCUUCUCUUGGGGUCGGUGGCGGAGAAAACGGUAUACACCAAAACAAAGGUUCCGAUGAUCUCAGCUCCUAAGCCGGUGCCGGUGCUGUAGCCGUCGUUGAGUGAGUUGGCUCCGCCGCCGUACCUGGUAUAGUAUGAGCUCUGAAACGCCUUCACUAAGCCAACCCCGCAAAUUGCCCCCAAGCAUUGCGCCACCAUGUACAUCACCGCCCUUAUUAACGACACCUUUCUCGCCAGCAACAGACCGAACGUCACCGCCGGGUUAAUGUGACCCCCUGUCACAGCCGGCGACCACAUUAAUUCAUACAACCCCUCAACUAUAACAUUUUUAAUGGAAAUGAAAAUAUGAAAUGACCCUCUAAUGUUUGGGUUACUUGUUGACUCAUGAAUUAAUGUACCCACUAGAAUCUAGAUAACAAAAAAAGAUUAUGUUUUCAUAAAAUUUGAAUUGAUUGAUUCUAAAGUGCGGGGUCUGUCAACCGAAUAAAAACUUAUCCCGGGCAAUUCAGUUUCGACUCAAGCCACUUCGAUGAAUUUGUGAUUUGUAACCCAAUUAAUUCAACCAUGAUUAGCUUAACAUGUAUAUUUGAUAGUGAUGAAAAAUGUGUCCUAUAACCAAAAAUUGCUCGAAAAAGUACCAAUCGAUAUGGAUAGUACUAUAUAAAUUUUAGUACAUAAAAGAAUACUCACAAUGAUUUAUAUACAAUCAUCACAAAUAAGACCAUUUAUAAAAAUAAAUACCAAUAUCAACUAUCUAGACCAGAACUCGGGGAGUUUAAAGAAAACAUUUAAUUAUUAAAAAAGUGAACUAAAAACAAAUUAUAUGCUCCUUAAUCCUUAUUAAUGCCGCCGUUUAUUGAUUGGAAAAGACCAAAAUGACCUUUAACGUGCAUUAGCAAAAAAUGAAAUGAAAAAGGAACAGACAGAAAGAGUAUGAAUCUAAUAAACCAUUUAAUUAAACUAGAGGAGCUAGAGCAAGUAGUAGUGAAGUUAGACGGUCACCGGAGAUGCCGGCGGUGCAAUAGACGAGGACAAAGAUCAUGCCGCCGAAAGCCCAGGCGAUGCCGAGGAUUCCGACGCCGGCGCAGGGGUCGCCUUUGCUGUUGAGCGGGUCGGACUGGGCCUUGUAGCCGAUGACGGUGAGGACGGUGAUAUAGAGGAAGAGCAAGGUGGCGAUGAACUCGGCGAUGAGUGCUCUGUAGAAGGACCACUUGCCCAGCUCCGCCGCGUCUAUCAGCGGUGCCGGCGGUGGGUCGUGGUAGUCCUUUGCCGAGAAGGACGCGUCCUGGCCCACUACCUCUUUCGUCAUUAUUUUGUGUUCCUGGGUGUUUUGUCGUUUUUUGUUUUAUGAAGGGGGAAGAGCUAGAGUGCCUGAGAGCUAAGUAAAAGCUAAGCUUGGAUUGGGAGAGAUAUGGUGAGUGUGCAGAAUGAAGAUAUGGUCCAGGGGUAUAUAUGGACACAAGUUCUUGAACCCUCAUAAUCAUAAUAAAUAUCUUUUUUUAUUAUUAUUAUAGGCCUUUGGGGUUUCUUUUCUCUAGUUAUUUUAUACAAAAAAAAUUCAAACUUUAAUUUGUUUUUUAGGUAACCAUUCAAUUUUUUUUUUCUUACAGAAAUAGCUACAAACGAGAAGAAUCGAAAUAAUCCAUAAGAAAAAUAAACUAAACACUCGCUUAAAUUGUGAGAUUGAUCGCCAAGGCUUCAGAGAUUUUGCCAUUAAAUGGGAAGUUCUAAAAACAUCAUGUAUGAUCACCAUUUAUAAAUAUAAACGAGAACAAACCAUUAGAAAAACCAAAUUAAGCUUAUGUGAUUUUUUUUAUCAGUUACUACCCCACGUGAUACAAAAAGGUGUAAUUUAAAGAGCGUUAUUAUGUUACCGUUUUUGAUUGUUACUAAAUGUCAUUGGUUAUUAUUUUCGUCUAUUACUAACUUUGAAGAGUUUUGAAAACCGCUUUUACGGUUUCUAAAAUUGCUUUUCUUUUAAUAAUGACUGCUUCAUCAUAUAGCCCGCAAAGCAUAAGUUUUGUGUUCCACUCAAUAUUCACUCGCCAAAUCCAUAUCGAAAAUUAAGACAAGUUCAUACCGAGAAGCACCCUAGAUAACACAAAAUAUAUAGACUCACACAAUAAAAAUGAAACAAUUAAACAUUAUAUGGGUGCACAUUUAUAUGUGUUACUGAAUACAAACCGAGUACAUCGAGCCCACCAACAAACUCUACAACAAACUAUCUCAGUUGUACUCAAUUUUGAAAGUUGUGUUUGUACUCAAUUGAAGAUUUCUUCUGGCGUACAGUUUGCAAGGCUUAUAAGAGAAAUUCGUAAGAGGAGAGAAAAAUUAGAAAUUGGCGAAUGCGUAUAAGGAAGGAGAAGCUCCAAAAACAGAGCAAGCACUGUGGUUCGUAAUUGCUAAAUCUAAUCACAUUUUGUAUCAUUCCAUUUACCAAACCGACCCUUGAAAUUAUUGAUCAUGUCGGCCACACUAUACGAUAGGAACGUUCAUAGCACACAAUAAUUCAAGUUUGUUCCAGAAUUGAAAAGAUAGUCGUAUCUACAUAGUAUACUGUCCAAAACUCCAUACCACCAUUGACCCCAAGUAAGGAUAUCUUGUUAGAUUGAUUGAGCUUAGCUCAACCCUCAAGGUGUCCGCUCGACGCGACUAGGAUCCAGAGACCAACUGAACCAAACCAUCAACGUACGACAUAGUUUCCACUCGACGAGGAUAAUGAUAUGACCAAACUCGAUCAGAUUCAAAAUUUCUGCAGAGGUACUUGGACUCUGUAUCAGCAUGAUUAAGAUUUCAUUCAAGACUCUGCUAUUUGUUUCCUUGUCUUCCAAUGUGAAAGUUUGGACUAGUACGCUACCACUGAAAGAUGUCAGUACUCGAAUCCACUUCAAAACCUUUGGUUUCAUUUGAAAUAAGAAGCUACCGACGUGCCAAUAUUAAUUUUUAGUGUUUUGUAUUAUUGUAUAUCAUCAGGGUAUGUGGUUUCUAUUAAUUAGGUUCGUACUUCCACGCCAAUUCUCUUAGAAAAACCAGUCACAUAAUAUCCACACGAAAAUGAAAUACUAUACUUAGUACUGAAUUAUCAUUCUACAGAAGCUUUGAGCAAGAUUCCAAAACACAGACGUGGAUGAAAGAUUAUUAAAGUACUUUGAUAUUCAUCUAUUAGAUGAAGACAUUCACUCUACACUACUGUUGAUGACCGUGGAUUAUUUGUUCUUAAUUCCGUAACUCUUUUUCUGAUUACGUACAUUAUAAAUAUACUUUGUUUUGGUUUGGAGAGUUAGGUUGGCUAUCACCGCCGGCAUGUCUUUAUUCUGACGGUGGAAAACCCUUACCAAAUCAUGCCUACCACCGCCGUCCACCGGCACUGAGGAGAAUUACUAUAGAUAACAUCGUAAAUAUUUAUCAAUUUUCAUCUGGGUACUAGUAGUCCGACAAAUGAAAGAUUCCAAGAAAUAGGGCGGCGGGCCACGAGACCCACGAGCUCAAAAUUUGGUGAACUGGUCUGGGAAAGCAAAUUCAAACAGUAAUUAAGCAUGCAUGCUAGCUUCUCGAACUCUGUAUUCAGUUCCUCAGAUUUCCAUUACCGACCGAAUCAUCUAACGGGCGUAAAAGCACACGUGGAUGACUACCAUCCAUUUGAUGACGGCGUCAAUUAUUGACAGCCGGUUGUUUUACUUAUAAUUUUUUGCUACAAGAUUUGUCCAAGUCCAGGUGGCCAAAACUUGUGGCUGCAGAUGGCUUGACGGUCUUGGGAAUUGAACGGCGAGACAGUUGCGCCUGUCAUGCUGUCUUUGCUUACGAUGACUCACUUGGCUACAUACCAGCCCAACUUUCCCCAACUCGAAUUCAGAUCGUUCAGUCUUCAGCCGGUUCGACAUCGAACCGAACUUCAGACUUUGAGUUCAAACCCUGCUUAUUUAGAAAAAAAUAAGCUCAAACUUGCAUUUGGUUUCAAUUCGUCAAGUUCGAGCUUGAUUCAAGGCCAUACCAAGAAAAAUCUAUGGUCGAACUUGGCUCGUUACAUCGAAAAAACAUCCCUUUCUCAGAAUAAACUCUACAUACCAACUUAUAUUGGACCAUCAACACGUUCAAUCUCCAGUUGAAUUAACUUUGCCGAUAUUAUAUCACUAUCGACAUCAAACGGCCACCCAAAAACAACUUGUUUACAGAAAAUCAGCUUUGUUCUCUACCAUGUCAUAUCUGUCCAUUAGACCCCACUGGUAUGAUAUUUCACUUUCAAGAAACUUGGCUUAACACAGGCUAAUCAAUCUGGAUUUGGCUAUGGCCAGUUGGCCACACCUUGACUAAACGAACCUGCAACAAACAACGCAUGUAGAAAUCUGAAAUACGUAGCACAUGUGCAGAAAUUGAUACAUUCGAUUAGUAGAAGACCGGUUUUCAUCUAUGGUCAGUCAGCCAUGGCAUCAAGAGAGCAUACUAACAAAAGGGACUUACUGUACAUGAUUUACAUAAAACCCGAAUCUGGAAUUGUACGAUUUGGAAUUUUAAGACACGCAACCAAUAUAUACCACCAGAUAGAGCUCGGUAACGCGAGGGUGUGGAGGACGACGAUCAAAGGCAUCUAGUGGUAGCUUACAGGAAGGAUGGGAGGAAGAGAAGCUAAGAAAACCCAGCUUCCAUGGCUCGUAAGAUUGCAGCCGUGUCGAAUCUGAAGUUUCUGAAACUUUCGCCAGCAGGAGAAGGAAGUUGUGGUGGUGGUGGAUGAUGAUAAUGAGCGUCAGAUGCCGCCUUUGUCAACUUGGUCUCUGUCACCGUUGUUGUGCUGGUGUUGACUCCUGAAGGGCUGUUCCUCGCUUUCCACAUGGAUACACCUUCACAGAAAUGGAUAUCAUCAGGAGGAUUGAAUGGUGUUUACACGUUACCGAAUUCAUCAAACAGAUGCAAGGAAAAAGUCGGAACCUUUGAGAGGAAGAUCAGGUCUGGGGGCCAUUGGAGACGGAUGAGAUGAAAUCCACGAUCUCAAAGACCUGCACAUUAGAAAGGAAGUAGUCAGUUUAAAGAACAGAACUUUCGUCAAGUAAGCGAUUCCAGUGGACUCACGAUAAAAAUGGAGAAACCAUGUAAAGUUUGAGCCCAGUGAUCCCACGAGAUAUCACAUCGCUAUUUGCUGGUGCGAGCUCAUCAAGCCGCUGCCAGGCAAUUUCCUGCGAGCAGCAUACUGAUUUAGAACACAAUCGUAUGCAAAAACCUACUGAAGUGCAAAUGAAAGACAUACACUUAUCUCCUUUUUGGUCUGUGGAGCAAAUACUGUAUCAUCCUUGACACCAGCAAUUAUGUAGAGCCGAACCCUCUGUUGUCCAAAUGUUUCCUCAAUAUAUUGGUCUUUGUUAAGAAGCUUUGACACAUCAAAACCUGUUUCCUCGAAGACCUGAGUUGAAAUAAACAAUUGACCAUUUUUUACAGGUUAGGCACUGGGAAAAUUACUAUUUCCACAGAAGCUUACAAAUAUACUUCUUAAAGCUGUUACAAGCUGGAAAAGAAGCAUACUUCUCGAACAGCACAUGCAUGGUCUUCCUCGUCUUUGUUCUUUUUACCCCGUGGAAAACUCCAACUUGUCCCUUUCCAUCCUUUCACUAGCAAGCACUGCCGUCACAAAAGUAAAAAUGUUAGCUGUGAGAGUCUAGCAUCCCUGUGAGCUAAUGCUUGCAAAAGAAUUGUUGUUCAUACAGCUCAAUUUCCUUUCUUUCCAUCGGAAAGUAAGUUGUUCGCCUAUGUCUAUUUAGCCCUUGUGAAAAAUCACAUGUUGCUUCACUUGCCUCGUAAAUAAGUUUCUCCAUGAUACACAUUUAAUGUAAGGUAAUGAUGCAGGAAUGUCUUCAUCAGGAAAUGCUAAGUAGACAAAGGUCGCAUGAAGCCUUAUCCACUUCUACUACAUAGGUUCCUUCCCACCCCAAGGGGCACGGAUGGAUUUUGAAGGACAAAUGAGCGAAGGAAUGUCUCCAAAGUACCAAAUGAUCCAAAUGGAGUACUAACAGCAAAUUACAAAGUCAUCAAUAUAAGUUCACAUCAACUAUAUCUAGCUACACAAAGGUGGAAAUGACGCUACAACUCACCCGUUCAUAGGUCUCAUCAAGAAUUAUUGCCCCAGUUACAGGUACUCGAACUUUAUAUGACGUAAAAUCCUUGAAUAUGUCAUCUAUAUGAGGAACAUAUGGUCGUAGAACAUCACAGCUGUUAAACACUGGUAUACGUCAAGGAAAAAGGCUGAACAAUUCAAAAAUACUGUAGAAAAUGAGUACAGCAUGGUGAAUCUCUGAUCCAGUACAAAAGAUAACAUCAGAGAGCAAAAAGUUAGAUUGAAGCAUUGAGAACUGGAACCUCCCUAGUACAUUGAGAUCCGUCAGUCCUAUGAGAUCAAUUAAGGAUACACAAAGAGGUGAACUCCUUCAAGUUGAAUGACUUCAAGGAUGGAUUCUUUUCAACUGAAUUGUCCUCAUAGAACCAAUGUGCGUACUCCACGAGGAACAAAAUUCUCUCAAACGACUGUUGAUCCUCUUGGGGCACAUUCAAAACAAACCGGCUGCAGUACGUAACUAAUAUACAUCAGGAACAAUUGCGAGAAACAAAUGAAUGAAAACAUAUCAUAAACAACAGUGGAAGAGUUAGAAUCACAUAUGACGGAAAACAGAUCUCAGAGCAAGUUCGUCUCUCAAUGAAAUUAGGAAUAUGCUAAUCUAGGUAAUGAUACUAACAGUCUUAAAACACCCAAGUCCAAAGUAACCAGAGUAAGAAUCAGUUGUUUUGAACUAGUGAUCGUCGAGUGAAAAUGCCCAAUUUAAACUACAAUUUACUAAAAACAUGCGAAUGUGAAGAAAUCUCAGGACCCAGAAAACCCAAGUUCAUUUCAGCUGAUUAAGUCUCUUUUCAUUUCAAAAUAGUAACUUCCCCCGAGUAUCAACAAUGAACAAGCACAUUGGAUCUUUUCCCAGUAUUCCCAAAAAUAAGCACAAAAUUUCAAAUAGAAACCCCCAUAAGAAAAAUAAAGAAGAAGAAAGAAACAAAACAAUGAAGAAGAUUGUGGAGAGUAAAACCUGCAGAGGUCAUCGAGAAGUUCCUGAGGAGGAAGGCCACCAUGGGCGUUCUUCAAUGGAGCGCUGGAAGAUCGGUGCAGGCCAGACAUUUGACGUUUUUAAAGCAGCUAGACACAUACAAGACGGUGUUCUCCUUUUUUUUCUGUAUGCGCUCUUCUACUUGUGAAUCGAAAGGAGCUCUUUCCGAUGGCGAUCGUUUACACCGUGAAGGAAAGGAAGAGCUCCUCUUCGUCGGCGGCCGGAUUUGGGAUUCAACUCCCACGUAACCGAUUAUCAGCUGCGAUUAAUCUUCCUCUUCUGCAUCUCUUUCGAAUCUUCUAUUCACUUCACUUUUUAACAUCGAAAAAUAAUCGACUGUUUUUGGGCUGGGCUCUUGAAUGGGCUCAUCAAAAGUUCUGACAUUAUGAUCUUAUUAUUUUGACAUUGGUCUAAAACAUCAUUUUUCAGGCGACUGCAUCAAUCCAGAUUCCGAAAUAUCUGCAAUUUCGAGUUUCGACACACGUUCCCCUGAAACAAACUCAGUGCAGGAAGAAAAGAAACCUCAGGGAUUUUUUUUUUGGUUUUAUGGUGGGAGGGAGGAAGCGGGAGAAACAGCAAGAGUAAAAAAUCAAUGCCGCCACUUCCUUUGGGAAUCUCGCUUCCUCCUCCCACUCUCACUCUCAACACCCACCAUCAUCACCAUCAUAACUUUCCUUCUUCUCCCAGGAUUCCUCCGAUUUCCCUUCAUCCUUUCCCCAAAUCAGGUCGGUUUCUUGUCCCCAGUUAACUCGAAAACCAGACCCCCUUGGGUUCGAUCUUAAUUGUGGGAUGCCUGCUGCUUUCUAUUCCAAAGAUGUCUCCUUUCUCUUGUUUCCAAUUUUGUGAAUUCCCCUGAUUACUAGUCAAUUGGUUAGGAAACAUUUCGGUUUACUGUCGUUACUUGGCCAUUGAUCUAAUUGUGGGGUACGUAUAAUUGGAUCUCUAAUUUUGUUUUGUAUUUGGAUCAUCUAACCAGUUGAUAGGACUGCCUUGUUGAAAUUAUUGUUGAUUGUUUUUCAGCUGCUUAACUAGGCUUACUUUCUACGUAUUCUUUGUACUUAGAGAUGUUUAAGAACUGAAAGUGAUCCUAUUUAACAGUAAAUUAUCCUGUCUUGCUUGGCACCCAUUUCCAUGGUAGUUGGGUUGGUGGAGCUCAGUUGGGAUUUUGGUUCUGGUUCACCAACUGGCAGGAACAUGUAGAGCAAGUCAAGUGGUGGACUUGUUCCCAACUCUGUCGCCAGAGAUUGUGGUGAGGGAAGCAAGGAUAGAGGACUGUUGGGAAGUGGCCGAGACUCACUGUAGUUCCUUCUUCCCCGGAUAUUCCUUCCCUCUGGAUUUCGUGCUCAGAAUGGAUCGGAUAGUUGGACUGCUAGUCGGAUUCUCGUUACCCGCUGGUUGUAACCGGACAUGCCUGGUUGCUGUUGUUGGUAGUUCGGCUGAUCAAUCGCUCUACAUUGGCAGUGGGGAUAUCAAGAUCGGAGGGUUCGAUGCCAAGUUUACUCUGAACAAGGGUUAUGUAGCCGGGAUAUUGACCGUGGAUACUGUUGCUGAUUUCCUUCCGAGGAAAGGUCCACUGCGACAACGAAGGUAAAUGCUUGCAAUGUUCAUUGCAAGAUGAGCAUCAAGUUCGUUACUUUGACACGGUUUGUUAUUCUCUAUGGAAUUGGUUGAUUGCCAAAUGACAGGACUGGAAUUGCGUACAUAUCAAACGUAGCUGUCCGAGACAGGUUUCGACGGAAGGGGGUAGGGAAGAGACUGGUAGCAAAGGCUGAGGCACUGGCCAAGACAUGGGGAUGCCGCGCCAUUGCUUUGCACUGCGAUCUGCAGAAUCCAGGUGCCACGAAACUGUACAGAGGGCAAGGGUUCAAGUGCAUCAAGGUGCCUGAGGGUGCAAACUGGCCUCAACCCAGAACAUCACCUGAUAUCAAUUUCAACUUCAUGAUGAAGCUGCUGAACUCAAACACAGCUCGUGCUUAGCAUUUCAUGUUCGUAGGUUAAAAAGGUCAGAGUAGGAGUCCUUAGCAACUUUUCUUGUUGUAUAUAAGUCAUCUGUGUGAAAUGGAAAGUUUUCUGCAUGGUAUAUAUGUUACGCGACAGUUUGUAUCAUACUUCUGUUGUCUCUGAAACCUCAAAGCUAAUUAACGCUGCCAGAUUCCACUUUCCAUUACAAUUCUGUCUAAAGUAACAAUCUUUGUUGAAUAAAGGUUGAAGAAAAGCAAUCUCAGUUUUCAUUCAAGCGAAAAGAUGUUGGCAUCUUUGAUUUUAUUCCAGCAAAGUUCCAUAAUCUACAAGUGACGAAGCAGCAUUAUAGAUCGUCCACCAUAAGCAAGCAAAACCUGGCGACAUGGGACUUCACGAAUUUCCAAGUGACAUCGUUACGAAAGAUACAAUUCGAGCACCAUAUACGAAAAACAGUGGCUCUUCUUGCAUUACGACGAUUGGAGAAACUUGUCCAGUACAGAUGUGUCCAGAGCUGGGAACUCCUUCACAGCAGAAGCCACGGCAAGUCCCAGUUUGAUGGCAUCAUCGUGGCCCGGUGCCUGCAGCAAAUUUUUUUACUUUCAGUCGUUAUAAGAGCUUAAUAAGCUUGAUUAUGCAAAAAGUUAAUCUACCUCAAUGUUGAGAGGAAGAACAGGAUCAUGAAGAGAGAGCCUGAGAAGGAACCAUCCACCAUAACCGGAAACUCGGAGCUGUAUCAAUAUAAAAGAGAGUCAAACUCGGAGUUGUGGCAGUUACUAAUCUAGUUGGCAGCAACUUACUCCUUCAUAGUUAACCGGAGCUUUCUCAAGUUUGGAGUCAGAAGCUACGAAGUUUUCCAAGUGCUUGAGAACUGCCUCGCCAUACUCCCGGAAUGAUCUGGAUUUUCACUAGUAUUAAAAGCUGACUUAAAACAUAAGGUUCGAAGUACACAUACAUAAAAAUGAAUGGGAAAUAGAACCAUACCCUCCUUUGAGAUCUGGAUGAUUCUGAUCGAUUUUCAGUCUUAGUUCCACUGCAAUUCCAGGUUCAUCUAAUCCUUCAAAACUAAACAAUUACUGACAUGUGCCAUUGGAAUAGUCAAUCUCUGCGGGAUGAAUGUCGUUGCAAGAUCAUUUCUUUCUCAUUUCAUUUUCAAUUUGCAGAUUCAUCUCAUUGAACCUUUGGCUCAGUGUUGUAAAUUUAGCAUAAAAGAUGGAAGAGAGUGUAGUUACCAAACGGAUGCCUUCAUCAAUGACAUUUUUAUAGCCUCGUUUGAACCGAUGAUGCUUCCCCCCUAAAACAGAUUCCACAAGUUAUGAGCCUCGCUUUUCAAAUGAUGAUUCGCCACACACCUUUUUAACUGCGUUGGCUUACCAAGUUUCUUUUCAAUAAAUGUAGUCAACCCAUCUGAAGUUACACUGUCCGUAACAAUCGUUGUUCCUGGAUGCUGGAACACAUACAAAACAACCAAAACUAUAAGUGAAAAAUCAAAGAGGGAAGUCACAUGUAACAUUUGCAUGCAACUGAAAUCGAAUGAUGCUACCUCCUCCAGAACAAUCGCAGACAUCAGUGCGAUUAGACGAUUGCGGUUGAAUUCCCGUCCACUAGAGUCCACAGCAGCAGACCUAAGGAAAAAAGUUAUGAAAAUAGAAUAUCAUGCUCAAGUGGCAUGCCGAUAGGGUGGAUAGAAUGUAACGAACGAACUUGUGUCUACCUAUCAACGUCUGUGUCGAAGAUGAUACCGAGAUCAGCUUUGUUAUCAACGACUGCUUUAGUUAUGGCCUUCAUUGCUGUCUUAUCCUCUGGGUUGGGAAUAUGGUUGGGGAACAUGCCUGACGAAAGACAGAUCAUUACUAAAAGUUCACGAUUAACCCAUAAUUAAAUAUUUAUUGGUUAUGAAACUUUACCAUCUGGCUCUAAGAACUGACUUCCGGAAGUAAUUGCUCCAAGAGGCUCAAGAACUUUUGCCUGACAGAAACAAAUAAAUAAUAAAACUGACAUUCAGAAAUGUCGAGCUUACUAAUGUGGUAAGAUCGUGAAGAUAACUUACAGCAAAGAAUCCGCCAGCACCAUUUCCAGCAUCAACAACAAUAUGGAAUCCCUCUAACGGCUUCUCUGUGAAUUUAACACCAUGUUAGAGCAGAUGCAUUAUUAUGUCUUAAUACCCAAAAAAAUCCAGAGUUAUUACCUAUGUUCCCGGCAGCUUUGCGAACGGCCUUCACGAGGUCAGAGGUAUACACAGCCAUGUAAUCGACUGUCUUCACGGACUCGGAAGCUCUUUUCUUUGAGUUUGACAAACUUUCGUUGGUAAACUUAUUAUAUAUGUCUGCAGCUCGGUUCAAAAUGUCUUUGAUGUCAGCUUUCCCAAGCCCUCCAGUGUUUGUGAAAAAUUUGAAUCCGUUCCUGUUGAAAGGAAGAUGACUAGCUAUAUGCAAAAAUAAGAAAUAAUUAAACGAAGACAUCACAAGUCAAAGAUAACCAAAGCCUGGAAAAACCAAUUAUUACAAGUGACGAGACAUGAGUCUUGUGGUGACCUGUAAUCAUUAUAGCUCCAUCUGCUGGACAGAAGAAUGCUUCGUCUUCCGUGAGUGUACUAUUAAACAUUGCUGGUGUAGAUGCCAAUCUAAAAUCAACGGUCACCAUGUUACGACCAGAAUAGAAGCCAAUUAGUAAAAUGGAAGACUGAGUACCAAUGCAUUCACAAUCAGUAAAGACAUCAGCCUGAUGUGCAAAUCAUGGGGAAAGCAAAGCGACCUUUAAGUCAGAGAGAAAUUAUUGUCCGAGAAAAUUCUAAUUCCCCAUCUCUCCAUUCAAAAUCUAAAUUUCAUAUCCCAGAAAAACAAAUCAUUUCCCAGUAAGCAACGUCCUUACAGCUUAGCAAAAGCAACAUUAUGCUUCAUUCAUGGCAAGGUGACGAUGAUUGACUCACCCAUAUUGGAUUACAUCCAAGCCCGCACCAGCGAUUCCUCGAGAAACUGCAUCCUGGAAGUUAAAGCAUCAACUCUUUACUUCGUACACAACUAAGGUAGUAUGCUAAGUUCCUGAACAGAUUAUUUACAAACAAUGUCAAAAGUAACCUUCUCCCACCUCUUAUUGCAAAACUCAUUCAUGGAACAGGGUUAAAUAAUAUGAUCAGAACAUUGACUCAUAAUUAUAUGUCAUCACUUAUAAUCCAGCAAAAUGAGAGAUUCUCUGGCCAUCAACAGAUGGAAGAAGUUCGUUUACCAAAAUGACACAAAAAGGGUGAUCAUUGUAAAUUAUUUUCUUGCAACAUUUUAUCCCAGUAAGGUGUUAAAAAUAAAUCAUUUUCAUCUGUAAUGAACACCAGAGCCCACUACACUCAAUACCAUAAAACAUAGACAAAUGGUAACAAAUUAAUACCUGCAAUUUCUUGGCUGAUACACGGGAAUCAUGACCAACGGAGACUUUAAAGGGUUUGGAUGCAUCAGUAUUUUUCUUCUCAGAUAACCAUGCAGCAAAUGCAGCAGCUAUUGCUUCAGUAACUGAUUCUGUGAGAUUAACAGGUUCCCCCUCCACACCAGGAACAGCUACACCUCGAAUGUCACUACAUAACAGAAGUAGAAAGAAAAAAUAGGUAUUGAACUAAUGUGCACAAUAGAUGGAAUCAGUACGAAAAAAGGAAAUAAUUCAGGAGUUUGAUGGCACAGGCAAAAGAAUUAUCCUGAAGAGAGCACGCAUAAAGUAAUUACCUGCCAUUUUGGAGUUUCAUAAAGUCUGCUUUGUCCAACGAAGGAACUGCAGUAGGCGAAGCAGCAGCUGCAACAGAAUCCAAAACAAUCCUAUUAAAACCAAAGGGAACGCACGCUAGAGAUCUUACUGUAACAAAUCAGAGAUCAUUUGGCAUCCCUGAGGUCUGAGGAUCACAAAGCCAAAAGAUAACCAAAAUAACAACAAAUUUUUAAUAAACAGGCUCAUAAGUUAUGCAAGCUUCAUGAUGAAAAUAAGAAUCAGAUGUCCCAUUAGGAUUCUUUAUGCAAGUAUGCCGCUGAAAUGACAACAAAAACCGGACCAUUGCACAAAAUACGCAACCGUUGGACUCUUGACCGUGUGUGCAUGUGCAUGGAGGAAAUGCAAUUCCAUGCCAACUUCCCUCCACGGAAAGGAAGCGAUUUGAAGGUAUUAGGGACAGAACUGCCCCUUUGGUAUCGGGGUGCUAUCUGUUUAUUCUGAGCUACAAAAACAUUUUGCAUAACCUUCGCUGACAUGGCUGCAUAAGAAUUGGGAAAUUCUGAUCAGAUACUAUCCGUCUCUCGUAAGUUUGCACAAGAUUCGAAAAAGAAAAUGCAAUACAGGAACUUCAUUCUUAAGAGGAUUUCCACCCAAGGCAACCUAACCAUCAAGCCCAUCAGUAGCUCCCCGUGGACAUUGUAAGAUACAAAACAAAAGACUAACUAUCCAUACCUCCAUUAUAGAAACUGAUUUUUUUUUUGCAUUGAAGCGGAUAGAUUUAAUAAGGGAAAAAGGACAUUCCUUCGUGACACAACUAGCUACUCAUAAGAACAGCCAUACCCGAAAGUUAACAUCUUUAUGUAACAAACUCCAGAAAUUCCACCCAUGAACCGCAAGCUUAAGCUCAACAUAACCAGUGGUAAACUUAGACCACCAAACCAUAGUCAACUGACUCAACUCCACUAGCUCAAGCCAACAAUUUUGACCAAAAUCAAUAGCAAAUGAAAGCACCUAACAAGUACAAUAUCAACGAAUCAUAUCAACUAAUCAAACAAGUGCAAGAGAGCUUCACAUAACCAAAUUCAAAAAAAUGGUGGACGAAAUGAAAUGCAAACACACACUGACUUGAAGGAGUGAAAACAAAAGAUUAAACCAAUAAGGAAAAAAGGACAAUGGUAUUCGUUCAAAUGGAAUCCAGAACAAUGAAUUACCAGCCAUCGGAAGAAGUGUGAAUUUUAUCGGAUGUCACCAGCGGUUGGGCAGAAAGGGUCGGACGGAGAAGCCGAGUAAAAAAUCGUUUUAUUGUUGGGAAACAGAACGUUAUAGAAUAACAGAGGGAGGGACGGUGGGAUUUUGUUUGGUUAGGUGGUAGCUGGAAAAUUGGAAUAUCCCCAUUGCCAUUGGAGAUGCAAGCUUCGUUGUUCACGACUUCUAACGGGCCUUGGCACUGGGCUCAAUAUGGGCUUUAGUAAUUCAGGAGACAGAUAGUUCAAUUUUUUGGGUACCAAAGCCAAGAGGAUCCCACUCAUCCCUAUAGUAAAUUUUGUGUCGAGGGAAUGGCUUCGAAAAUUGUGCGAGCUUCCGCAACAAUUGGAGAUGAACACAAAAAAAAGUAACGUUAGUCAAGAAAAUGGUGGAAAUCGCUAAUCAAUAAUUCAUCACAGUGUAUCUUAAAAUCACGAAAAAAGUGUUUAUUAAAGUAUAAUUCGCUUUGUAGGAAUAGAGAACUCGUUAAGUUAGGGUAUUUUCUCUCUUCCUUGUAAAAUGUGGAUUGUGAAAUAAAACUCUUUUAUUCAUAAAAAAAAAAGUAUAGUUCGCUUGCUAUUUUCCCAUUUCAACACAUUUUGUUAAGUACAACAAGAAUUCGUACAUUGAUAGACAGUUAAAAUGCUUCAUAAAAGUAACGUGGAGUUAGUUUAGAGUUGUGUAUUGGCGAUUUGAAUGUAUCGAAUUUAAAAUCUAAUUACAUUCUACAUAAUGAUCACUUAUAUAAUAUUUAUUUCUUUCUUUUAUUUUGUACUGAUAAAAAUGUUUAAUCCGACAACCAAUAGAAAGUAAAUAAGAUAUUAAAAAUAAGCACAUAUCAUACUAUGAAUAAUCAUAUAUCAUCUGCCAUAAUCUCCGACAUUGAGCCCAACAAAAUCCACACACAAGUCACAACCACUCAACAUAUAUCACAAGCAUACCUUACAAUAGAAAUCAGUUGAAUACCUAAGUACCACCGACAAAUCAAAGAUUAAGGAAACCAUGUUCAGCUAAUUAAUAUUGUCACACGUGAACCAUAGUAAUUAGUCAACGACAGGGUAUGAAACGUAGUGUGCCUUGUGAGAUCUCAAUCCCUUUGUAUUCACUACGAGCUCCGUUAAUGAUAUAUCGAGGAAUUAGAGCCGAUAGUUAGUGUUAACGAAUGUUAUACAAACUAAUGGUAUCGAAAUUCUUCCAACUAUUAUGAUGUUUGGGGUAUAAUAUUUUCCGACAUGAUAUCUGACCUUCGUUACAAAAUAUCCUAUCCUCUAGUUAAUGUAUCUGAUUUUUCGAAAAUGAAGGGCCAACGUGGGAUGGGGUUGACCAUGGCCUCACGUGACCACACGCAUUGUGAUUAAUUAUAAGGCUCCAACUCCAGCUAUUGACAGAUCUAUAUACAACCCAUUUAAUUAUCGUUGUAGUAUAAUUAAUUCAAAAAUAUUAACAAAAAAUAGGGAAGUAAUUAAUAGUAUGACCCAUGAGUUACGAAUCUUUGUCUCCCACUUCCAACCGAUGCUUGUCAAUGUAAACAAAGGGGACAGCAAGCUUACUUACAAACAGAGAGCUUCGUCUAGCUAGUUUGACUCUUUUAAUUAAACCAUGGUUAAGGAAAAUAAACUAAUGUUUAUAAUGAAAUUGAAGAUCCCAAUACCAAAAAACAAAGAAUAAUUAAAUAACGUCAAGUUGGUCAACAUUUUUUUGCGCCAGAAAUACCGGUUGACUUGUUGGAACCAUGCAAGCUCGUGUGCAGCUGUGUGGGGUGGUUUUGUUUCGGGAGCUCAAAGUGUGUGACAUUAAACUGACAUUGAAUUCUCUGUAUAAACAAUAUUACAUUCGGCCAGCUUCGAAAUAUAUCGUAGUUAACUAGUCUUCUAAUAACAUACAUCGACACAUUUUCAUGUUCUGGAGAAAAAAACCAUGGUACAACGGUUGUUCACAUUUCAAAAUUCUUCACCUUCAAUGUAAUUGGCUACUGUACAAUCGUUCAACAACUCGUUUCUCAUCAUAUUACGAUAUUUGUUCUUGAUCCUUCGAAACUAGUGGAAACACAGCAUAGUUUCUUGUUCCCACUAAAUUUCUUCGAGAGUUCGGCAAUAAAACCACUCAAAUCUAAAAAAACCCUCCACUUACCGUUAUCAAUAAGGUUAAGAAUUCACAUCCAGGACUCGGAGGUCUCAGAUUUGAAACUUCGCAUCACCCUGCAGGUGCAUUUCUGAGAGAUAAAAAGAAGAAAAGCUGGUAAUCUCCAGUCUCAUUUUUCAUUCGUUCUCCAGUACUGAUUACUAAACAAAUGAAGCCACGUAAGCAAAUUGACAGUAAAAAAAAGGUUAUUCUGAAAGAAAAGGAGGAAGGUUUUGUCCAAGGAAAGGAUUUCACAACUGUACAAUAGGGUGAAAGUAACUCAGUGAAAACAUUUCCAUCCUCCUCUCCCUCUCAUAAUUCCUAAGAUGUCAAUGCUGAAAUCUUUAGCUUCAUAGUAGAUUCAAGAAUGUCGAUUAGUGAAUCUAUAACCGAACGACUCAUCUCCGGUGUGUCGUGAUCGUUCCAUGCCAAGCAUGUCGGCCAAUUUCCCGUUGAGUUCCUUGUACGAUCCCAUCAUCGACAGGUCAAGUUUCCGCCCUGCAUCAUUGGUUAUGGUAAGAUGUUUGUACCGUGGGGACCCUGCAUCCGAAGAAUUUUCCAGCGGACCGUUCUGGUACACUGAAGAGCUCGAACCCUCAGAGAGGUUUGUGAUCAUAAUCUUCUCUGCAUUGCCAACAGAUGUACUGUUCCCAUUCGAUGACUCGCCAGAGCAGCUUCCAGAAGAAGUGUGAUGAUCCGGUACAAUGAGCUGACCGAACAAGAAUAUGUGGGGCGUCUUCUUCGUUUCGCUGCUUUCCUUGGGGCUACUGCUACCGAUCGUCAGCAAGCACGAUACAUUCUCAUCGCAGUUGGUCUUCGCUGCGACGUUGUUCGUCGGGAUGGUGAAUUUCGGGGCAAACCCAAAAGGUAACAGUUGACCGGUCUGCUGCUGCAGUUUGUUGAAGUGGAGAUCCGAAGAAGGUAAUAGAUCGAAAUGAUGCGUAUGCCUGGCUCCCUGUAUACCUGCAGGAAUGUUGGUGUUCGGAACACAACACAGAAGACUGUUGUUUGACCUGAGCGAGUUCCCGGUGAACGGUGGAAGAGGUAGUUGACUCAUCAAGGAGAAAUCCGGUUCCUGUGGAAACCUCAGCUUCUUUCUUGGCGGCGAGAAAGGCGGGAUGUGAAUGGCCGGCAUGCUCGAGACUAAUUCAACCAACCAUGGGUUGACACGCUUCACGUUGUGAAGCAACUCCGGUUCGUCCCAUUCUACCUGCAAAACAAUCAAGUAAACUGAAUCUCAGUACCAAAAGCUCAAAUUUUGGCAAAUUUCUACAUACAUAAUAGAAGGCAAAGUACAAAGAUUUCAAUUCCAUCAAUAAAUGGAAGCUAAAUGCAAAGCUUCAUACUUCAUAGAAAUUAUGAGUUCAUGAACUCUCCAAGUUCUCACAAUCACAGUAACCUUUCAGAAAAUUAAUCAGUCACAGUACAAUCACUCAUACAAUCUUGAUCCAAAUAGUGCAUCAUAUAGCAUAUAUUAGCUGCAAAGCCUACAACAAUCUAGCACACCUAUAUGGCUAAGUUCCAAAUUAAGACAGUGGAUCCAUCCGGAAAAAAAACGGUUUCUUCCAAAGAUCCCUAACAUAUUACAUUACAAUCUACAAAAAGAAAAAACAAGUUCACAGAAUCGAAUUGCAGGCAACUGAAAACAGCCUGUUACACCAAAAAGUCAUGAACUUGGGGAUAGAAUGUACCUGUAGAAGGCGCCACGGAGAAUUCGGCCAGUGGAUUGGAUCAGCAACUUGAACAGAAGAUAUGGUUCCCAUAAAGCAGCUAAUCCUAGAAGAAUCCUCAGUCUCGAACGGCAUCUUAAACCGCAUCCCGGGAUACCACUGCAUCUGCAUUGCAGCUCUAACAGCAGAAGCUCUAACCCAAUACUCAGGAGUGCCAGCACUCGGAUAGUAAACAACCUCAAAGGGACGUCCUUUGGCAGCAAGAGUUGCAGCCUCCACAACCGAUUCCGACCUAAUUUUCGCCUUCAUCGUCACAUCACCCCCAUUACUAACAACAUUCUUCCUACACUCAUAAUCCUCCCUCAUAAAGCCAUAUGAAUUCCACCCAGACGGAGCAAACUCACUUCUUCUGGCACGCCUGAUCCCAACACAAAGAUCGCCAUUGUCAGCUCGGAGGAACACGAUCGAAUCCCCGGCCACGAGCUUCUUCUGGUUCACGAAAUUGCUCCAGCCAGUUGUCAACAAAUGCCUACGAGGAGUCCCUCUAUAGAUAUGCCUGAACUUCCAAGUCUGGCCAUGGACAUCUUUAGCGAGUAUGGUCUGGACAGGAGGCUCAGCGUUGUAAUCCAGCCUUGGGAAUAUGGUCUCAGCACAGUAUCUAGGCACUGAGAAUCCGCCGCCGUUAUUGGCAUCAGAUUGAGUGAGUUGCUUAGCGAAAGAUGCAGUCUUUUCUUCUUGAGAAGACUCAAACAACCCAUCAUCACUACUAUUAUCAUCCCUAGAACCACUUAUUAAUGGGAUAAGACUGAUUUUAGCAAAUACCUCAUCCGUUUCAGGAUCUGCCAUGUAGUUAAUGGCGGAGACUUUGCAAGGCACCAUUGAAGGAAUCUGGCAGCUAGGAGGAGCGAAAUCGGCGGUCAAUUGAGCAUGCUCGGCGUGGCCUUGAGGAAAGUAAUAAACUUUCGAGCUCACCGGAGGGAUUUGGACCAUGCCGCCGGCGCAGGCGUGCCAGAACUGUGAAUCCAAGCACUUCAUUAUCCCAAAGUCUCUCAUAAUUGAUGCUGGAGAAAAGAAAAAUUAUCACAAGGAAACUAUUUAAGGAUGGGAGAUGAUUUUGUCGUCAGAGGGAGGAAGGAAAGGAAGCCAUAUGCUAAGUAUCUGGAGACUGAUUUAGCAUCCACCCCCACGGAAGAAACGAAGAUUCUGGUAUUGUUUUAAACAACAAGAAAGAGGAGAACGAGGAAAAAAGGGGCAACAGAACGAAAAGAAAGGGGGGAAAGAAACAAACUUUUACUGAACCUAGAAAACAGAGCACCCAACAAUGUCCGGAGACAACUGGAUAAUUGAAAUUGCGGGAGAAGGGGAAAGGAAAUGAAGCAAACCCAGAUGAAGUUUUUGGAAGUGGGAAGUGAAGCAGUGAGGAGUUAAGAGUCAAUUGGGAGAGAGUAAAGGGUUUUUAAAUAGAGAGUGAAAGAAGAAGAAGAAGAAGAAGAGGGGAUGUGGUGUUAAUUGCUGGCUGGCUGCUGCCGACCGAGCUGAGAAAGUUUCUACGCAGAGAGAAUUUGUUUUCUUGGGGGAAAUAAAAAAAGAGGUUUUGACGCAGAGGAAGAAGAAGAAGAAGAAGAAAACAGAGGGAUUAUUUUUUUGGAUCAUAGGUGAAUCCACCGCCGCUGACAAAAAAAAAUUACAGGUUAACUUGGAAGUUUUUUACAAUUUUUUGUUUGUUUUUGCCCUUUGCUUAAAAAUUACAUUGUGUGGUUGUAAUUUGCUGCAAGCACGAAGUAGAGUAAUCACAAUGGAUCGGAAAUUCUAAGUAAAAUUAUAAGCUUGUGGUGAAUUUAAAAACAUGUUUAUUAGAUUUGCAAAAAUAUACCGUUUAAAAAUAUUAAAUCUUCGUUUGGUCUGGUAGUUUGGGCAUUAGAUAGUGGUUUUACUCUCGUUCUCGUAAAUGGACUCGACGGCAAAUUUAUCUAUUUUGCACGUGACGGAAGAGCUGUCAUAUCAGAAUGCGAGUUUCGUACUUCAGUUUUGUAAUUUACUUUGUGCUGAAUUGUUACAAUUUCGGACGUAUUUCAAGAAGGCCGACUGUUUGGCUUAUGGAGGUUUCAUUGUCAUGUUUUGAAUACAUUCUAUCUCUAACCUUGAACAGUCUAGCACAUUAUUAGGUCAUGGGGACUAGAGUUGGGAAGUAUAUUAUCUCUACUCAGUUGCAAUUUUCUCAGACCUAAUUCAAACAAGGUUUUAUUGCGGUAACUACAAUGAAACAUGAAUUUGUUUAGUCAUUUGUUAAUUGGGGACAUCAAUGGUUGUUCACUUGUUCUGAAAAUUAGUAACAUUCAUUCUACCAAAUGAAUACGAUGAUGACUAAUUAGUAUAUGAACAUAGACAGCUCGCCUCAUAUUAUAUGUCUAACUGCAGCCGUAUAUAUAAAUAUCGUAUAUUCACGGAACAAAUACUUAUCGGUAUAAUUUACCGAACGGAUCAUUAAAAAAAUAUUUCUUAAUUUCAUUUUAUAUUACAGAUUUGCUCCCAAUUUCGUUUCUACGGGUCUUUUUAAUAAGAUAACAAAAAAUUAAAUUUGUGAAAAAAAUGAAUCUCAACUAUUGCGAUUCAGUGCAACUCGCAGUCUCAAAAACCUAAUAUAGUAAUUAAAAUCUCAAAAUACCAUAGAAUUAAAAGAACAUAUCCCUAAUCGUAAUCAGUCUCAAAAACAUAUUCUUUUAAAUUUCACAUCUCAAAUUUAAUCCAUACACACUCCACCAAACACCAAAGUUUACAUUUCUUUUUUUUUUUCUGUGACUCCAAACAUCUUCUUCUUCCAUUUAUUAUAUACGGUGUCUACGUCGUCCCUCUCACAGCCAUACCGACACCACUCAUCGAUGCCUCCGCACACAAAACUACAUCCACAUCGCACUUAACGUACCCACAACUCGAACUCUUUAACCAUAACUCGAAGGACACCAAUAUAAACAAACCCUAAUUCAUCUUUGCUUAUUAUGUGUUCUCUCUCCCCAUCCCAAUUCUAGAUUCUCUCAUUGUUGUCAUCCCCAUAACCCAGCUGUAAGAAAAUAGAAAUUAGAAAACAAACAAUAUUUUUAAAAAUGAUUAUUACACACAAAUAAUCAUGGAAGUUGUUAAUGUGUUUCCUUUUUUGCCGGACCAAUGGUGUAUUAUUUACAGUUUACUAUGCCUUGAUUAAGGAGAGUAAUUAAUCAAGUGAUAGGCAAUGGAACGACAAGCACAAUCCCCAGAACACAAUUUUCCCUGACUUUUCAAAGGCUUUGGGCUCUGAAAUUUAAGGCAAAAAAAUCCAGACCACAUGCAACUAACUGAUCACGAUUAAGGUUAAUUAACCAUGGUUAGAUUCUGAUAAUUAAUGCUCUUCCCCGAUUAUUAUUAUUAUUAAUUUGUUUCCCGGCCGGAGUUGCAUCUAGUCAACCCUACUCUACCACAUGUCUAUCACCUUAGCUCGGUUCCUACUUUCUCGUACUCUCAUGCAUAUUUGCGGGAUCUACUCGAAUAAUUAAAUUUGUUUUUGUAAAAGUUAAGUUAAUUAUAUUGGGUUACCGUUGAUUUGGUUGGAUGAUUUGAAACAAAAAAUUUAUGUAUAUAGAUUAUUUAGAUGGAUGAUUUUGAAUGUGAUUAUUAUAUAAAGAGAAAAAUAAAAAUAAAAACGAAAAAUGUUUUGAUUUUAUUUAUGUUAAUAUUAAUUAAAAAAAUUAAAGAGUAAUUUUGAUUAAAAUUUUUAAAUCUGUUCUCUGUAAACUAUACUUCCAAAACUGAAUUGUUAUUCGCCGUCCUAAGUUAAUGCCCCAGAACACGUGAAAUUACAUUAUUACCCUUCCAAUUACAAAAAUCCGAAACGGAUUCCCACCGAAACUGAAAACACCGAUUCAAUCUUUUUGCCGAUAAAAAUUGUGGUAACAAUUUCCGGCGCCGGUGUACAGGCGAUGGCCCCAUCUUCGGCGGCCACCAGUUUGUGUAUCUUCAUCUCGCUAUCCGACGACGAGUCCCACUGUGUCAGAUCCAACCUGAUCUGGAAGUCUGUGAGGUAAAGGUUCCAAUUAAGCCAGAGAUUGGUGAACAAUAUUUCUAAGUUUCAGAAUAAGCAGGAUGUUGAGGAUUUGAUUUGUAUGUACUGGCAAACUAGACUUGCAGUCCAACCAAACAAUAAAAACUGUCCCGGGGCUGCCUUCCUCGACGUAGUGUUUUCGACAAAAGGACUAUGUUUAAACAAUAAAACAAGAUCGUAAAAAAGGUCAUUUUCUUAGGAAUAUUAAGACAAGGUCUCCUUUACAUGUGUUCCAUGUAAUUAUAUUCCACAUACUAACGUACAAAUUUCACAUCUUACUGCAUGCAAAAACUACCGAUACAAACUAUGCAAGGGCUUUUGGGAAAAUAUUUUCGUUCACUAGCUACCCCCGCAUUAGUACUGUGCCGGUAACAAGAUGUUCCAAAAAAACGACGGAUAAUAAGUUAUAGAUAGGAGACAAGUGUACAUACAAGCGUCAGUGAGAGAUACGGAAGAGUUAUGCGUGUAUCGGAAAAGGGCGACUCUAGUAUCUGACCGUUAGAUAAUCGAAAAUGGAAUGAAUAGAAUUCGUAUGAAUUGCAAUAUUUUUUGGACGACAUAUUAACAUCUUAUGUGCUGAAAUUUAUUGUUGGCGAGUGUUGAACGGGACAAAUCAUCAUCACUGUCAAUGUGGACUUGCAUGAACUCCAUCUAAAGAUAUGACUAGUGGUUGAACUGGGGCGAGCUAAUUUAGACCAUUGCCAAAAAAAUUUUCAUUUGAAAGCGAUAAAAUUUUAUUUAAAUAUAAAAAUCAAAGGUUUUUAUAUAAAUUAUAUAUUUAAACUUAGAAUUCCAUAUACAAGUUAUCAGACCAUCCUGUAAUGCUAACAGUGAUGGAUAUAGGGGCCCUUGGCCAGUGUAUUUUCGGAUUUCAAAGUUCGGUACUAUAUAAUAUUUCUUAUAUUUUUUGGUUGGUUGGUAUGUUUUUUAUAUACGGCCCAGGAUAUUUGGACUUUUAUACAAUUCGACACAGUACAUUGAACCAUCCAAAUCCGCCGCUAAAACGCUAACAAUAUGAGACACGCGCACUCGAAAAAACAAUAAAUCAAUGACAAAAGGUUGAGUAUAAAACCUCAACGGUAAACUAUGGACACCAAGGUUGUACAAAUUACCAAAAUUCAGUCGAGAGUACGUAGUUGAGUUGAAUGAGGAGUACUUUAGAUAAUUAACAAGUUAAUCAAAAAAUAAGAUUGUGCUUCGAAAUAAUCGGACUCGACGGGUGUUAAUUAAUUAAUUAAUUAAUAUUAAUUUGCGUUUAACGGCGGGGGGAUGAGGAAGAAGAAAGGCCGGACUUGCGCGGACUUAUGAAGAUGGAGGGUCCACACAAUUAAGGACGGUGGGGUCACGGUUAGCAUAGCAGUGUGAAUGUCGUCCAACGAUGACCGUGUGGGGACGGGGUGUCCGAAUCUCUGUCGGUAGUCGUAUCAGUGUAGUGGCAUUGUCUUGUUGUGAAUUUGCUGUCGGAGAUACUUAUGCACUUGUAUUGAAAACGAGAGUUUUUAUUUCACCUUUGAAUUAGUCGUCUCUCCGUCACGUACGUUAGUACAUGUUUUCGACGGGAGCCAAAGGUUUUAUCUUCACCAUCUGGUGGGUUCGAGGAGUAUACUUUGGUAUGUUGCUACGCAAGGAUGGACCUGAUCCAGACUACAUGAUACGAUUUCGAGAUAUCGGCCAAACUACGGGGAGCCUGGAGUUGUUUUAGUUUCGAGGUUAAAUCCGAAUAUAUAUUUCAGGUCUUUUUGAGUUCGGCUCACUGUAUUUUUUUAAUUUUACCCUAAAUUUCUAUAUUUUCUAAUACUUUUUAAUAAUAACCAAAACCGUAUGGUUUCGUCAACCGCGAAGGAAAGAAAGAGGGUUUCUGGCUUAGUGUCCAUGUACUGUCGACCCAUGUGAGCCUUUGAAUGGAGAAAACACUCAUGGACUUUUAGUAAGCAAUGAGCUGAAUACGUACGUAGCUCCCCCACUCACAUCAAUGCUCGGCAAGACCAGUGGACAAAAAUGGCGUACGUAUGUAUACACUCACCACCACGUAUUAUCAAUCUUAUUAUAUACGAAUACUUUGACAACACGGACCCUCUGUUUUUGCAUUUGGUUUGACGUUAGUUAUAGCUUUGUCUGGCCAUUGAUUGCCCCCCACGUGUUUAGUACCAUAGCCGGAGGCUACUCGUGUGCCGGUUGCGGUGGCCGUGACGACCGGCGGCCAUAAUAAUAAACAUUUAUAAAACUAACCUCGAUCCUACUUACGUACAUUGGAAAACACUCCCAGCUGGUUUUGUGGGAAAUAAAUGACACACCCAGCUUUGGAAAUGAAGUUGGGAUCAAGGAACAUAUCAUCAUCAUCAAGAAGAAAAAAAAGCAAAUCUUUUAGCUUGUGUGUAUGGUCACAUUUGAAACACCUCCAAUGUUUACGUCAAUUAUUAAUGUGAUAACUCGUUCAAAGUUGUGCACAACAUGAAAAAUUGUUAGAAAUUGGAGGAUUUGAUGAUUUUGUUUGAUAUAUAUGUUUUUUUAAACGAAAAAAUAUAGAAGAUUAUAUAUGAGAUUCGUAAUUUUGUUUGAAGAAGUAACUUUUUUAAGUGAAGACAGGUGACUGAGAAUAUACGAGCAAUCGAAUAUCUGAAACACGUAGAUUUUGUUAGACCAUGAAUACAAGAAAAAUAUUAUUGAAUACAAGGUUUUCAACAAAUUCAAUUGAAUUUCUACAAUAUUUAUAAAUUUAUGAUGGUUAAAAGCGGCCUUUUAAAAGUGUUAGGGUAAGAAUCUAAAUACCAUGUUAAAAAAUAAAAGGGGAUUUCACUAGUUUAAAAGAGUUUAUGCACCAACUAUACUAGAAUGAGAUUUUUUGAGAGCUUAAAAACAAAUCGGUGCAAGUUGGGUUGGAACAAAGAGGACAAUAUCCUGCUAGUCUCUAAAGGGUUUGUGGCUGCAAAUUAGUAUCCACGGUUCGGUUUCAAAGAUAAAGAUUCGGAAAGAGGCAAAUAUCAUACUAGUUUUUGAGAUUUGGUUGCGACAUUUACGGAAUCCAUAAGCAUUUGGAGUACAAGAGUUGCUUUUGACUGCAUUGGGCUAAUUUACCAAUAUCAGCAUUCAGCUGCUCCAGUCUCUUCAAUCCCCCGAGUCCAAACCACCUUCAUUUAUGUUUGAUGUAUUGCUCAUGGUCCUAUGAUGUUCUGUUUAGUUGUAUAUGUUGGGUUUCAAGUAUCAAACAUUAGGUUGCUGUUUAGUUGUCAUGCUUUUGUCAAGGGCUUAUGACUUUCUACUCUUGUUCCACACUACUCAGGGACUCGGAUCAUCCUGCUGCCAAAUCAAAAUGCAGAAAGAAUCGACUCAAAAUCGAGCCUUUCACAAUCAGAGAAGGUCAAGGAUGCAACCCAGAUAGUCGUAACAUUUUCACUAUAAAUCGAGCCUUUCAAGCAUUCCAGUACUAGAUCCUCGUAAUCCGAGAAGACCGUACAAGAGAGGAGAACUGCUGGCAUUAAAUUAAAGACGGCUUCAACGAGGACAUUAACUUUAGAGUUUAGACACAGUAUGAGAUGAACAUAUAAAGAGUCCGGACCGACUUAAGCACACAUAAACCUACACAAAUCCUGGUUAUGUUACUAUCUGAUCUACCUCACUAUCAUUUAACCUUCCUAGCUACAAAAUAUUGCUCAUCUAGGCUUUCCUAUGUUCAUUCUUUGUACCAGAAAAAACCAAUCGAAUUUCUGACCAUUACCACGAAACUAUCGAUCCCUCGCAAAAAGAUAGGGGCUUUAUCUCACACAUCUAUCCAUGGCAAGAUUGCUGUUGAGAUUCGGAAUCAGUAGCUCCGGUGAGUGUGCAUUCUUAACUUGUAGAUCACCAUCAUUUGUAGUAGCAUUAGUAUUGGUUCUCAUCUGGAGGACCAUCUUGUGAACAUUGGAGUGUAGGGAUGGAACAAAGGUCGGGCUAUUUGCAGGCCGGUAUUCGGGCAAAAGCCUCCCCAACUUCACCUGCAUAAUCCCACAAGCAUUGCAAAGUGUGUUCGCCCCCAUCGGGCCAGCCCUCCAUUGUGGUGUCUUGGUCGCCUCACAAUGCACGCAUUUCCUCACCCCCUGCUGUUGUUGCUGCCCUGGUUCUGCAUUCAUCACUUCCAUCCUCUUCUUCUUCUUCUUGAUCUUCUUCUGCUCCGAGUUAGUGCGCUGCAUUUCUGACCUAGGGCGGGGGAAAUAACAGCAGGGGCAAAAUUUCUUGCAAGGAGGGCGUCCACGUCUCCCCAGAGCCACAUUGGCUUCCACUAUGCAAGGUGAAGCUGGCUUUUGGUCCCCUGAACUGUCCAGGACUGAGCUGAGGCUCGAGCAUUCACGUUUGCUUGGAGCCACAUUGGCUUCCAUGCUGCAAGAUGAAGUUGGCUUUUGGUCCCCUGAACUGUCAAGGACCGAGAUGGGGCUCGACCAUUUCUCGCGAGGACGUCCACGUUUCCUUGGAGGCACAUUGGCUUCCUCUCUGCAAGAUGAAGCUGGCUUUUGGUGGUCCCCUGAACUGUUGAGGACCGAGAUGGGGCUCGAUGUCCUGAACCUGAACCAUAUCGCUGAACGAGACAAGUUCUUGUUCACACUGUCGUUCACGGUGAGGAAUCCUGAAUCCUCAACAGCACUGGUUAGCAUGUCCAGCUGACCAAUGUCAUCGUCCUGCUUGGAGACAACAACAACAACUACAAUUAGAGCUAUGGGAUUGAACUUGGGUGAUCAACCAAAGGUAGUGUCACUAAUUAAAAAGUUAGUUUCAGCAAAACCCACAUGACAAGUCAUAUAAUAAGGCCAAGUUACCAAUCCACGUCAGCACCGACAAACCUUGACAAAUUUACUGUAUUACCCCCUGCAAUGGCUCAUAAAAUUUUAAACCCUAGUUUGAGAAUUUCUACCACCGCAGUCAAAGCAUGCAAGGUGACGCCACUACGUCGGAAUCCAACGGUAGGGAAGAAUAAGAAAAACAAUCAAUGGUGUAUACGUGUAUGGACUGAAACGCACCGGAACGUACAGUGCAUCAGAGAGGUCAUCGGAGCCACCGUAGUUCUUGGUUUCGUCGGCGACAGCGUCGAUGUCGUCGGAGGGGAUGUCGAUUAGGUCGUCGAUUUGGCCGAAGAAGCUUCCGCAGUCUAGCUCGUCCACGCAGCUAAGUUUCGACGGUGUCUGAGUGUUGCCAACCAUCGUUCUGAAAAAACAUCAAAGAGAAAAAGCCGUCAACCAGAAUGUUGACUAAUACACCCAUGAAAACUUCUCAAGCUCAGUGCAAACCAACGCGUAAAAGAAAAAUGCAGAGUGUGAAAGCUACAAUUAGGGUUUUCUUCAAAAACUUUAAGUAUUCCUAACAUGAACAUGGGUUUCCGUCAAUGCAUGCCGACAUUUUCGAAAAGUUAGGAGGAAACCAAAAGAGAUAGAGAUACACAAAGAAACAGAGAACAAGAAGAAGAAGAAGAAGAAGAAGAAGAAGAAUGAGAAACAGAGGAAACAGAGGAUGAAGCUCUGUUACAGUCCAGAGAGGGAGAGGAGUACAGAGUUGAAAGCUCAUUACCUUUGAGGAAAUGGCGAGAGGAAGGAAGGAGGAGGAACUAGGAAGAGUGAAUGCAGAAGGGAAAAGGGCUAGGGUAAAAGAGAGAGUGAAGGUGUGUGGCGUAAAGGGUUUGAUUUGCUAGCUGUCACCUAAUCGGCUCUCUGUUCUUCAUUUUUGAGGUUGAAGUCCAACUGGUCCCGCUAAAGCUUAAACCCCUGCCUGUCAAUUUCGUUAGCGUGUUUGAACUUUGAAUUCAAAGAAUCAAAAUGGUUAAAAAAACAAGCCAAAAUAGUAACAAAUAAAGUCAACAAUGUUUAAGGAAUUGCAACCAAAGUCUCCUAGACCUUGUAGCAUGAUGUGUGAGUGAGUGUGGUGAAGAGAGUGGGGACUAGCUACUAGCUAGAGGGCACUUAAGAACUUAAUAAAUUACUACUAACCAGAGAAAAUAUAAUGGGUAAAUUUAGACUCAUGGAUUUAUAAUUUAUACAAAGUCCUAGAAGCCAUGGUUGUGGAGGGAGAUAUUUGAUAUUGAAAUCCUACCCCAAAUGAUCGAUGAUGUUUUCAUUAGUAUACUCACAAACUGUAUUUCAGCUAUCCAAUUUACUAAAUGAAGUGAGUUUAAAGAUGGACAUACCCUGACUCAAUUCUACUUCAUUAUAUAUGUCUCAUUUAUUUUGGUAAACGAUUUUGAACUCGAUUUUGAAAGCCCUAAGCCCUUUGUUUCCUUACCCUCUCGCAUCUCUGUGCAUCGAUUCUAGCUGCAAAACAUUCAAACAUAAUUGACAUCUAGUACAUUUUACUCGAUACUACUCGGACGAUCAUUCUCAACCCGAGACCCAAAUGGUCGACUACAAAGACUAGCUAGCUAGAAGACACUUAAAACAAGCAGAAAUCAGCACACUAAAGAGUAAUAAACUAGAAGUUGCAGACAUGAUGACACUGAGUUGAUCAUAACAUGAAGAUAGAAAGAUCAAAAGAUGUCCAUGUUCCUCAAUAUGGUGACAUGGAACAAUGGACGAGGCAGAGCAGCAGUUAGGUUGAAGAUGCAGAUAUGGCCAACUUGAAGACGAUUCUCCCUCACAAAUUUGGUCCAACCACUGGUGAUCCUUACCGAGUUCUUAAGAUCUGGUCACUUUCAUCUCCCAUACUUUUUUCUCCCCAUUACCAACCUUCACUCCCACCUUUUCUUCACUCCCCUUCAUGUACUUCUCCGAGAAGAUUGCUGGUAUAUGCUGCAAAAACCCAGCCAUGGCGUCAAACAUUCAGGAAAGUCACCACGACGGUAAUUAAGUGGGGUUUCGGGAGAGGGGUGGUAAAAAGUAUAUUUACCGCCUGACCGAGUUUGAUGUAGGUUUUUGUUAUGUUUACUCUGAAAGAUGGAGCUUCAGCUACUACAGGGGAGUUAGCAGUUGUCCUUCCAGGUUCAGGAUUAUAACCCGCAGCUGCAGCAUUUCUCCUGUUCUGCUUUGUUUCCUUCAUCAUCUUCUUUCCAUUUGAUCUCAUCCCCCGACUCUGGGACUCCCCUGCAUCGUAAUAAAUCGAGUUGAAUGGAAUUUCUUAAAGAGUUAAAAUUUGCACUAUUUCAGCAAGUCAUGUGCACAAACUGAAGACUACCGAAAUUCCCCUGCCCCGAUCUCCAAUUGAAGGUAAGCAUUUUUUUGAUCUUGUCGUCGGUUGGUAGACGUAUAGACUACUGGACUACACGCCACCAACGUGACUGGGACAUGUAGUGUACAUGUCCCAAAAACCUCGUCCUAAAAAGAAAUCGUUAAACGGAUUACCUUUGGUUCGGUUUUCGGUAAGAUUUCUGGACUCCGACGAACAAUUUUUCAUUUUUGGUUGUAUUUGUUAGGUAGUUUGUAAGAUUUCAAUUUUGGUUAAAACUUCAUUUUUAUGAAAAAUGACCCCUUCUAAGAUAAAACCUGUAACAACUUACCGCCGGUAGAGAUUUCAAAGUCGCUGUCAUUGUCGUCAUCACUGUCAUCGUCGUCAUCGUCGGGCUGAGGUUCUUGACCUCUAUCAUCAGCAGGAAGAGAGGAGGGAUAGUCGAUCUCCGAAGCAGAACGGUCAUGAAUCUGAACGGAAAACGUAAAAUCACUCAGAUGCUUGAAGCGAAGAAGAUGGCAGUCAGCUAAAGAGUAGAAGACAGCAAACUCAUGGAAUCCAUUUCUCAGCCAGAGGCGGCCCUGUUCUUCAUCAUUCCACAGCUCCAUUUCCCAGCUCAGCCCUCGUUCAUUGACGACGAAUAUCGUUGCUGUGCGGUUCGACAAGAAAUCUGAUCCGCCAUUGUUACCCUGCAUUAGUAUUAAUCUUUUCCUGACCACCUUCGGAAGCAUCUGUUCAAGUAAAACAACAAAUGUAAUUAAGGACUGGAUUGAAAAGGAAAAAAAAACAGGGGAAAAAAGAAGAUCGAUGAAAAUUACGAGCUUCCUGUCACGGAGGGAGUCGGUAGUGACGAUCUUGUAGAAACGGAGUAGUCCUCGUCGUACGCUCGGCUGACCAGACGAGCUCAUAAUGAUGAUGAUGUUAAUUUGUUAGAAUUUUGCGAAUGCUCUGUUUCUAAGCUCUUAUGACAGAGUGUGUACAAGUUCUCUGUUUUCUAAGCUUUCAUUCAUGGGUAAAUAUGGGAAAUGUAAUUGGUGCAGUGGAAGAUUGAGAAUUCAUCCGAUUGAGGAAAGAAGAAUGCGACGGCCAUGUGCACAAUUUUAGUGCGUUCUUCCUGAAAUGGAAUUUUCUCAGUAACAGAGAUCAGAUGGAGAGUUGUUUGUUAGAGAGGGUUAGCAUGAUCCUAGCCGUUAAUUGUGUACUCACUCGCAUCAAAUGCCAAAAGAUAUGUUCUUUCAUUAAUCUCUGCUCAAUCUACAAGAAACAAGCAAAGAAAUACAAAAAAAAGGAAUCUAACUUGUUUUCACGUGAUUUCUUCUCUACGUAAAAUCUCUUCCCCCAACUUUUGCCAUUUAUACAGUAAUGUCUGCUUCAGCAGUGCUUCUUCGAAGGAACACUCAACGAUUGAAGAGUUACUACAUCGGUCCUCUUUUAUUAUCUUCAUUCUUGGGAAGCAAGUUGCAGGAUGGUUGUUGAGCAUCAUUAAAACCAUACCAUACAACUUUAGUUCUUCGUGGAUUACACCCCAACAAUUGGUUUCACUAUCCGUUGAAGCUUCCACCCGCCAAGCCCCGCCGAAGCAAAUGCCUGUCACCAGUAACAACAAUUGUGUUAUACAUACAUUAGGAUUAGUAAAAACGAUCGCCAUUCCCAUAAAACAAAUAAACCAUUCAGGUUUAUCAAACUCGUCGUGUCCAGACCAGUUUUGUACGCCCCAUGCAAAAUCAUUUGUAAUGGUAAUCGUCUGUAUUCAGCUCUUAGAGUCGAUCACUUCAGGUAUGGUUUUGAUCAUAUUCAUCUCCUUCAACGAAGUUCUUCCAAGUUACCACGCUACGCCUAGCGAGGACGAUACCGGUCACCAACAACGUACAUUCGCUUUCCAGACCAAGUGGUCUCCGUCUAGUGAUCAUAACCAAGUCUCUCUUCAGAGACCUCACUAAGGAAAUUAUAUUGUUUCCUUUCGAGUCCCGAUGCAAAAUUUAUUAGUGUUUCCAGAGAAUGCUUUAGCUCUUGCUUAAGUCAAUGAUCCAGUAACACUUGGUCUAAGAACUUGAUUCCUAAUGCCACAUUGAAUGACAGAAAUUUCAAAGCUACCAGAUAGGAUAUUGCAGGAAGGGACAACUAAUUCAGAUAAAAGCUUUCAGGAAAAACAAUCCAGUUGCAAAGCCUUGUUCUGCAAAAAAGAAUAUGAUCUGAAUCUGUCCUCCAUGAAAGAGCAUGGAGGAUCUUAGGUCAUACAACAUAUCCAAUUAUCCAACUUUGAUGAACCUUAACUCCUUAAGCAUCUAAGCAACAUACUCUAAAAGCUCUUAGAGGAAAACUCCGAAUACAGAAACAAGAAUGCAAUUUCCUUCCUAACAGUUGGUCAUCACCCAAAAAACUAGUCAAAGAGACAUCAGGCAAGGAGAGGAAUUCAGUCGUGCCCAAUGAAGAACAGAUAGUGCACAGGAAGCUAACCUCUACCCAAGAUUUUCCAGCAGCUUCAAGCAAAGCAGCAUUGCAAGUCUUCAGUUCAAUAAGAGUGCCAGUAAACAUGGACGCUGCUUCCUCCCACCCUCUAUUAUGUCCCAUGCACCUUCAAAUGAUUUUUUCAUAACACGUGAUCAAUAACAGGAAAUGGAAAGCUAAAUGAAACAAGGUACGUAGACAUGGGAAUUCAACUUACAUAACGGUGAGAAUGUCGUUGGUGGAAUGUUCACAGACGGAAAGCUGAAGGUGGUCAGCAGUCUGUCCAUCCAUGGCUGCAAUGGAAUAGAAGCUAGGGAUGAAUCGAACCUCCGCUUCCAAAAAUGCCGGUGCAUUUUCCUGCAUUAUCUUCAGCGUUUCUCUAGUUCUCACCGCAUCACUGAAUUCAAUAAAGAAGGCUAUCAAUGGGGGAAAAGGAGAAACUUGCGAGCAAAUCCAAACAAUUUCUGUAAAAUCCCUAGAAAACCUUAACAAGAUGAGCUGAGGGAUCCAACCCAGCUCCUGGAGCUCCACCGCAACUUUAGCUGCCUCGGACUGGCCAGUUACAGUAAGCGGACGAUCGUGGUCUGAAAAUAAACCAGAGAGAAAUUAAAAUUUAAAAACAACGAAGAAUUGGAAAGGAAAUGGAAACAAGGAAGAGAUAAAUAAAAAAAGACCUCGGAGGGCAGGUUGGGAGAGGGAACUGUGAGCGUGGCGGAGGAGGAUGAGGCGGCGAGAGACAUUAUUAUCGGAGCCGGAGGUAAAGGGAGAGGAGGAUUCAUCGGUGACAAGGGAGACAGCGGCGCGGAGAGGGGCGGUGGCGGUGGGGGAACGGAGAAGAAGGCGGCGAUGAGGUGAGUUUGGGGUGACUGAAGAGAAUGAGAGAAUUGGGUUUGGAGAAGCAUUGCUGUUGUUAGUGUGAUUAUGAUGGAGGAAGAAUGAUGGAGAAGAGCAGAAGCAGUGAGUGCUUCUCAGUAUCAUCAUCGUCUUCUUCUGCGGAUUCGUCAAAUUCUUUGGCUGCCUCUGAAACUGAAACUUGACCGAGUUUUUCUACAGUUCAUAUUUUCUCCUUAUCUGCCCGGAUGAAAGCCUGCUGCUCGCUUGGGCCGACUCUUGUGGUGGGCCGGCUUGAGUUGCUUGCAAUUAGCCCAAGAGGAUAUCCGGUCAACUUGCGAGAAAGAACAAGUUAUAGUGUUUGGUCGAUACAGGUGGUAGCGCAGUUGAUGAUCCAAGUCGUUCACGAGUGAUUUAGUGUUCGGUUUGAAAAAAAAAAUUAAUUCGGAUUCAGCUUGAGCUAGCUCAAUACAAGACUAGAUUUUGGUAAUUUAUGAUUAUUUGUAGGGAAAAUAGCAUAAAAUAAAUGAACUAACGUAUAUAUCUCAUUUAUCUUGAGAAUAUACAAAAACUGACUCACCAAAAAUGAAUCAAAAUAGCAAAGCAAAAGCUCUACUAAUCUCUAAUGUAUAAAGAGGUCACAAUUUUGAUCUAAUCUGAUCAUCACCCUAAUCCAAAUUAUCAAGUUCAAUUUACCCCUAAAGCACGACAUUAAUUACUUCUUUUCAUUCACAUGAUGAAUCUCCAUAGUGACUCACACGCCAACUGCUUUCCCGACAUCUAGAUUGUUCAGCCGACAUGUUCCUAGCAGCAUCUCCGGCAGCUCUUCCUCCGUGUUAGCCUGCAUGCAUGCGUAUAGUGACUCGACUAACCACGACUCGAAAAUUCGUCCAGCAACCUCUGGCGAUUCGUAUAUACCUGAAUCAAGAAAGCCAUUUCCACGACGAGAUUGGUCAUGUAACCAUUGACAAGACUCACCACACCUCUGGCAACCGUUGAUGAUCCGACAUCGACUGCAAGCUGCAAAUCAUGAUUAAGGAUCUUAAUUACUUUCAGCCAUGGUUCUUUGUUAACAAAAAGUCAACCGUUUGAUGUAUGUAACUUUACCUCCAAGUAAUUCUUGCCACGGAAGUAAUGGAUGUCAAGUGCUUGACCAACCAAGCAGGAUUUCUUCCCAACACUUUGCUUCACUAUCCAAGAUCCCUGUAAUUAACCAAUACAAAGGGUUGGUUUAAAUUUAUCAGGAACAUCCAGAAUCUUACUACUGUUCCAGAAAACCGAGUCAGUCAAAACUGACCUUCGGGAUGAACGGAAUGAGUUUGAACCUCGAGUUUCGGUAAGCAUCAUCUCCAUUAACAAAGCUGUUCAACGAUGAAUGCUGUUCCAGUGGAGUCUUGAGCAUGUAGUAUAAGGCCAGUGUGUAAACCGGCGCACCAGGAACCUGAAUGUUGACAAUGAAGAAGAAUUCGGGCCGAUUCUGUAACGAAUAUUUCUGAACGAUGCCAUCAGGCCGGCUUCCGAGAUCCUGCUCCCAUCGGCCGGACCUUAGCCAGUCUGCUCCUACCAUCUGCAUCAAAGUUCCUCUUGCCUUUACCUGGAAAUGACCAAAGAAACCAGAACUCAUCAAUUUAACUCGCAAAAUGAAAGCUCGUGAAAGAGUCUGAAGGACGCUGUAUACCUUCCGGCUGUCUUUCAAAUAGGUUUCGCCGCGGAUCAAGAAAGUUGAAGGGUCAGCAGAAGACCAACUGCAUGGAAGUGAACCAUUUGAGUCUUUUUGAAGUGUUGAUCCAUAGGAACAGAAUCCACUGUCUUCUGAUGUGUCUUGUAAAUCUACAUAACCCUUCUUUUGGACUGCAAAAGUUGAAAUAUAAGUAAUUAAACUUAGUGUUGUUAAUUAGCUGGUUCUGUUGACAUUAGAUUCAUUACAGAUAGGACUGACCAGCAAGGUCAUGCAAUUUCUUCACAAGUCCAGCAGCAGAUGAGAAUGCAGGCUGCUGUUCUAUAUCCUGUUCACAAAACAGUAAAAAGGAAUUAGAAUCUGUCAAAUUUGUGCUUAAAUCAACUGUUAAUAUCAUUUGACUUACCGGUGCUGUGUCUGUUGGGGUUCCGGAAGAGGACCAAUCCAUUUCUGUCUGAUCGAACUCUAUCAGUUCCUGGUCAGGAACAUCAAAGAACUCAUCAGAGGUAUCAUGGAGAGCUACCAAGCUAGUGUAUAGUGGGCCCUUUUGUACGAGCUCCUCGUUCGUUGAAGUAACAUCCAGUUUCGUCUUCUCCAAGGGUGUUGUAGUGACUUCAUCUGUAGCAGAUUCAUGCAUUUCAAUGGGGGACACUUUUCGGGGGCGAACCAGUUCUCUUGAGACGGAGUAGUUGCCUGCUUUUGCUCUGAACAUUUCUCUCAAUGCUGCAACAUUUUUGAAGCAGAACGUAACAUACAAUUUGAGGAUUCAGAUUGGUUUUCUAUAUUAUUCAUUAACACAUGUACGUACCCGCAACUCUUUCAACCAUGCGGAUCGUUACUGAUUUCCCUGAUGCAGGCCAGAGAUAGAUCUUCCAGAACUUCCAAUCUGCUGCAAGCAUGUGUUUCACGAGUGUCCGGUUUCCGUUGUCAAUAGGAGUGAUCACAUAUCCACCACCUAAAUAUUUUAGAUAAGGAUUAAAACAUGUAACCACAUAAGAUUUUGUAGAACUUUUUAACCUAAGUAUUACAUUACUUUUUAGGCAAGCUCGAACAUAACCCUUCUGCUGUGGACAUUUCUUGUGAAUCACGGAAUGAUAUAGGAUUACUGCAAUGGAAAACCAGAGUUAAGAGGUCAAAUUCAAAUUACAAUGAACUUCUGUUAAUAAAUACUAUAAAAACUAAUGGAAUGAAAUGGUUUUACGAUAUGGUAUGGUAUCAGAACUUUAAAAGACUAAGAGGUCUCCGUUUCGGAUCUUGAUAGCCUCUAAUGCUUGAAUAUGACUUAUCGGAAUUGUGUAAACCUCAACUCUUCUAAGAGAAAAGGUAUGUACCAUAUGUUCCAUCAUCCUCUCUUCUCCAGUAUCGUCGCAACAGCAAGUCCCUUCGUCGCAUCCCCCUUGGAGAGAAGAACAAUGGAUAAUUAGUGAAACCAUUCAUUCAUGAAAGUUCAUUGUUCAUAAUUGUUAUAGGUUAGAGAAUUAUACCAUGGAAGCCACUGACUGUAGAGUUGCUUAUGGAUGAUGUCAGUAUGGCCAUCCAGAUGUUCAACCACGCUACCUCUGUAGAAACAGAAGUCCCAUCUGCAAUUUCAACAAACCAUUGCGUAAACUUAAAGAGGUAAAAAACUAGUUAUGUCAUGAACUUUGUGGUUAGACAAGAAUUUUAAUUACUCUGCUCUUGUUGGACCAAGAGACAUCACAAUCCUGAAAAUGGCUUCUGAAGUAGCAUCAACCACUCCAACUCCCAUGAUUGCUGGAUUGUCAUCCCACCGCUGAGAAAAGAAUACCAAACAUCAGACAAGGUACAAAACAAACAUCAAAUACUAAACAAGUUAAUAAUCAGAGACAGAACAUUCAUUCAUACCCCAUCUUUGGAAUCUGCAUCCUUUGCUUCUCUGAAAAGGCGCAGACCUGCGAAUAUUUUCGACCUUGUUUAAAGCGUUGGUUCCAUCAUGAAACUUGGAACAUAGAACACAUGCUGGUGUGUAAUUACCAUUUUGACAGCCAAAUAUUUUCCAAGGUGAGGGUGCAAUGACAUCAGAUGUCAUAGCCUCAGUAUGCAAUGUAGAGUAAUAGUCUAUGGACCUUUUCGAUCCGGUCCUCCUUGAAAUGCUUAGUCUGGGAAAACAAGAUAAGACAGUUAAUUAAGAUAACAGAUUUUGUUACUUUUCAGUCAAGCAAUUGACAUAUAUUACCUUAGAGGAGGCCACUUUCUCUUGGAGAUGGCCACCACAAAGUUCUGUGUGGGAUUUGGACACUCCUACAAAGGAACAACAAUCCAUGAAAAAAUAUUGUGAAUGGCAAACCAGUGAUCAUAUGAUGGCUAAUUGAGUUGACUGGAAACCUUUAAGAGAGCAUUUUUAAGUGAUGAAAUCCAUCUUGCAGCUUCUUCUGAACUACUUGCUCCCAACUGUUAAAAGUGAAAAUUACAGGUGUUGCUGAUGAGUUUAGAUGGAAAAUUUCAGUCUCAGAGCUAACUUGAAAGUUAGCAUAUAUACCUUAAGUUGAUCAUUUUGAUUCAAGGUGCUGCAAAGAGUGAAAAUGUAGAAGACCUGCAAUUUUUUUUCUGAAACAUUUAGGCAUUUUCUGUUUGUUCAUGAAACCAUGGCAUGGGAAGAAAAGGAUUAAGCAUUAAUUACUUUUCUGUUGAUGUUCUCUCUUCCAUUGUCUGUGACCUUAAUGCAGGAAUCUAUUGCUGCACUUCUAGUCAAUUCCUGAAAACCAAAGUGUUGAGUAAGUGAUUUCGCCAUUUUCAGUCGUUCGAUAUAGUAGCGAGGGUAAUCGGUUUGGUUUAGUUGGAAAAAUCGGACCGAUCUGCACCUUACUAACAGGAAGUUGAGUCUUUAAACAGCCACAUUAUAUUCCAGAGGCAAAGCCAGAUGAUUUUUGAGCAAAUGAUCAAUGAGUGAUCAAAACAACAAGUGGUCACAUAAAUUUGAACUCUUAACAAUUUGGUCACCUAACUUUCUUUUUGUAACAUGAUAUUACUACAUAUAUCUGUUUAUUUUUGUCGCUUUUUUCAUUUAAAAUUACAUCUCAACUUGUCAUGCAUGCAAACAAAACAAACCCUAUAUGUAGACAGAAUCAAAGCAAACAUAGUAACAAAAAUAAUAUAUCAAGUUUAAGGAAUUUAUGUAACACUUUUUUUCCUUAUUAAUCAAUGUUAAAAUUGUAUGAGAUGUACAAGUUAGUCUAACAACGAAAAAAACUCUAGAACCACAAAGCAAUCACAACAAUCUAGAGUCAUACAUUCACGACCUAAUGAAUUUGUUAAUAUUAAGUAAUUUAUUUGAUAUCAUUUUAGAUGAAACGAUCGGCAAGUUAAGUUAUGAUUUUGAACGAAAAACAAGACUAGAGUACGUGGAUGGAAGUCCCAUCACGUGAUUGCUACAAAUAAAUGUCAUAUAAUUAAGCACGCUGUCACGGAGUCCAAAAUUUCUAACUGCCCCGAUCGAGAAUGAAUCCAUAGAAACAAGAAGGCCAAAAUCAAAUGUUACAAGUAGGAAGAAAACCUCAUCAUCUGAAGUGGGAAUGGCCCUGUAGCACUUGAGACAAUUCUGCUCAAGAACAUAGUACCUCUUCCUGGAAAACUGCAGACCAAACCUAUUGGACCUGAUGGUGUACAACCAGCCCUCCAUCUUGGCAUCAUUUUCCUGGAUACCCAUUUUAGAAUAGAUGCUGUAAACUUUUCUGCCCAAAUAACGAGACAGAAUAUGAAGGGCUGGCUGCAGUACUUUUGUCCCCUCUCUUUGGUUUGCUAUAACAUGUACAUGUAAUAAGGCUAAUUCCCCCUCGUCUUUGUCGUUGUUGUCGUUCUCCCUCGAAACAGAUUUGAAUGCUGACGAUAAUCAAUCCACUGAUCCCACCCGAGGAACGGUGGAAAUCAGGGGAUUGAAUGACCUAUACCUUGUUUAUUUGCUAUGCACCAAUUUGCCUAUGUUAUUUUUGUUGUUUUUUUUCCUCCUCAUUGGUGUAUCUUCUACUCUGUUUCCCCCCUUAUCAUGUUUGGUUUAUACAGAACAGAGAUUGUUUGGUUUUUGGGGGGGUGUUACAAGCUUGGAAGGGGGAAGAUGUUGGUUAGUUUUUUUGGCUAUUUUUUCAUUCUUCUUUUUUGAACUUGUGGAUAUUAGGAAAUUGUGGGGUCUUUUCACUUUCAAACGGUGGAUUUGGUUACAAAUUAAGAUUACUUUGGUCACUAUUUACAGUUUGCAGACUUUUGUGUUAUGUUGGUUGGUCUUUGAAACAAUUUCUUCUUGUUUCUUUACUUUACUAAACUUAGGAGACAGAUAGGCAAAAAGUUCAAUAGUUAUAAACUUAUAAUACUUAUAAUAAGAUGGAUAACUCUGUUGUUAAAUAUUUUAACGGAUCGUUUUAUUGGAUUUGAAAGGAAUUUGAAAUAGAAGAAAUUUAAAUAUGUAAAGUUAUUUUAUAAAUAGUUUGUCUAUUGUUUUUUGGAAAUUAAAAGAAAAAAUUUAAUUUAUAAAAAGUAAUUAUUUAAUUAACACAUUCGACAAAUUGUUGCCUAUGUCGUCAGUAAGAAGAAUCAUUUUCCUACAUUUUCGUCCAUUAUGAUUUCGCUAGAAGAAUUUGAUAUCGUUUUCUUUCACGAUUGAGUUGUUCUCUUGCCCUUCCCUUCGAUUGGCAAGCUUUGCUCACGUCAUGGUGUUCAAUUGCUUUUUAGUUUAAUGAGGUUGCUAGAUGUUUUCUUCAUAUCAUUUGCUGACAUAUUUGGAUCGAGAAAAAUCAUCAUAUUUUUAAAAACAUAGAGUCACCGGUCGAAAACUUUAUCUUUAAGAUUGAACAAGAUAUACAGCAAUGUAGUACAACCGCUAGUGUUUGUUCAGAAAUCACUGGCAAAGAAUGUUGCAGCAACAACCACCUAGAGAUUUGCAGUUCUUGUCCAACUGAGGUGUUUCUAUUGUUGAGUGACAUUUUAUCUUGUCAUUUUUUAUUUUGUUGUGUGCUUGGAUUGCAAGAGCUUUGUUGGGUUGUAACAUGGCUUAAGCUUUCAUUUUUUAUUUUUAUAGAUGAAGUUAGGGUUAUAUGUUUGUGCUUAUUUUUAUUGUUGAUUUUAAUUGUAUUUGUCAAUUUUUUUAUGGAUCGAGUAGACAAUAAUUUCAAAUUUUUGAGCUCUACAUUUUUUUUUCGUUUUUGUUGAAAUCACUGGUUUUAUUUAAUAAGAGUUCCUUUAUAAAAAGUUAACACAUUUGAUAAAUGAUUAAUGCACCAUUUACCGUAUUUCUUUCCCUUAAAUACAAUAAAACAAUUUGGACUUUUUCUACCCAAUAUUUGAUAUUUGGCCAAUUUCAUGUCUAUGAAAUGAAUUUUAAAUCAUAUUUCAAGACCAUAAGUUGUCUUGAAAUUACUUAUCCAACUACAAUUUCAUACUCAAACAUAAUAUUUCAACUGAAUCUUUCGAAAUAAAAUGAAAGACGGAAAGAGCACCAGACGUCCCAAGGCGAUACAAUGAAACAAAAUGCUGCCCGAAAUCAUCCACAAGCACACGAGUACAAAUUUUGCAUGCAUGCGUAACGUGUACCUCGCAGUCACUCUCGCAAAGAAACGACGUGUCGUUCGUAUUCGUAAUUCCACCACGUAGUCGCCAUGCAGACCUAUCUCCGCCACAAUAUAACACUACAAAAAAAUAAUUAAAAAGAACAGAUCUCACUUCCGUGCCGACAUCGAUCAUACGCAGUAUAAUAAAUGAUACAAAGCAUGGCGACAAAGCCAAUCACAAGCCAACUGAACAUUUCUUCCGCCGCCGCCGCAGCGGUCCUGCUGCUUAUUAUUACAACGGCGGCAGAGGCGGCUGAUUCUCCGAAGUGCAAGGAGGAGUACGCGGAGCAAGGGAGUUUAGGGAAGUGCAAGAACUUCAUAGGGAGAUCUGUGCAGAAAGGCAGCCCAUUCAUCAGCGUUCGCGCCUUGCUCAGCUGCUGCAAUCAGCUGAGGAAGAUGAGUAGCAAUGAAUGUGUCUGUCAAGGUCUACAGAUGGUUCUUCAAUCCAUGGCGGGCCUGGCCGCCGACCACCGGUUAGAUAUGGCCAAGGCUGUGGAUAUGGCUAGUCAGUUCCCCAUCAAAUGUGGUCUCUCGUCGUCGUCGUCCCGGCCUUGCAAGCUCUCCCAACCGGCUGCUCCUUAGUCCUUCCGAAGCUAGAGACGAAGACCAUUCCGGCAAUGUCUAUGUCUAUGGGAAUGGUCAAGAAAACCCUUGCGUUUACUUUUGUAUGUUAAAGUUAUAACCAUUAAAUACUAUAAUUGUAAAAAUUGAGUAAAAUAAAGUAUUAAGAAAAAACUUAUAGUUAAUGGGCACCCAUGACACUCUAGGGCCCAAGGUAAUCAACAAUAAAAGUUGGGCCGGAUAGCCCAUAACCUCCAAGUCGGCCCUCUUAAAAUUCUGUCUCCAUGUCCGGUUAGAGUCGCCCAUAACUGUACCGGACAUCGAAUUAGUGAGUCGAUUAUAUUUGGUUAAAUUGCUAACGAGGCAGACAUUCAUAUUCACUCUUUUACUGUUCUACGUCAUUGUAGGUAAGAACCCUCCGAUACUUGUCAGUAAGGUCUCAAUAAGAAAUCUUUAUCGAUGCACCGAUUGAAACUGCCUCACAUUUCAGUAAGGUCGAAGGACAGUAAUCGAGAGUUAAAAACCGAACGAUCGAAAAUGGAUUUAAGAAUCACAUGAUCAUGAAUAAAACCAUUUUGCAAUUGGAAAGUUCGAAUCAAAACCAUAAGUUGCACAGUUUGAGCUAAAUCAAAAAUUCAUUCAUAAGACAUUAACCAUUAAUUAACAUCCAAAACAAAAGGCGCAAUACAGAGAAAUUAACCAUACUUUUAAAGUGCACAUCUUAAGAACACUACCAAGCGCACACAGAACACAAAACGAAACAACAGGCUACAUCCGACAAACCAGCGACCCGACCGACCUCCGAUGAACCUCAUCCAUGACGGAAUAUGCGAACGCGGAAGAGGUUGGUCUCGGGCUCGACAAGCUCGAGCAGAUAGACGUCUCCCACUACCAGGUUAUGUUCCUUGCAGAACGCUAUCCACCCGCAUAUAUACUUCCUCCCAUGCUUUUUCGUCUCGAACAGCUUAAGCUCCUUCUUGUCCACCACCACACGCUCCUCUCCGUCAAACACCCACAGCGUCACCGUCGGAAAAUGUUCAUUCAUGUGCUCAUGUGUGAUCCUGGCCGGAAAGUACUGCAAUUUCGAAAAGGAAAAGACAGAAUUUUUGCACCAGAGAAUCAGAGAAACGGAAAGAAACGGAUACACAGUGUGAGCAAAAGGGGAAGAUCAAGACAGAGUCAACACUGGCCAUUAACUAAAUAUCGUUAAUCUAACUAUCGUUAACACACACACUAUGCCGUUGACUAAUAAGAAAAUUUUGAAAGAAAGAAAACAGAGACUGAUCUUACCAUGUUUCCUGAAUGUAGUUGGGAUGCCGUGAUGACAAUCAGAAACGAAGGGUUCUCCAAAGAAAACAGAGUCUCCUUAAUUGAAUAUUUUUUUCGAUUCAUUUCUUAGUUAUUGAAGCUUUUUUCGAAGUUACCUGUAUCGGUGAAGGCAUCUCCGGUGGCAUUGGGAGGCCAUUCCUGCUGUUUCUGUCGUGAGCUUGGUGCAUUGCCGCCAUUUUUCUUGCCGGUGAAGGCAUCUCCGCUCCCCCUGAAAUCAGCGCCGUGGAAGUCGGAAUCUGAGGAAUCUGAGUCGGAAUCGGAGAUAUCAAGGUUCAGAGGAAUUCUUCCAUGAUGGUGUUGCUUGCCGCAGGUGCUAAUUUGGGAAACUCUGUUCAUAACAUUAAACCAUCAAACGCUGCACAGAGAAGAGAAAGGCUAUUAUUUAUUCGGCUGGUGGUUCGAGCUUUUGAUGCUUGUCUGUCAGUUUUGACAGCAUUGCUCAUUACUGUGUAUGGAGAAUUAUGCUUACUUUUCUAGCCAGUAGGAUGACAUGCCAAUAAUGCAGAUACCAAAAAGAGCCAUUGCUGCUGAAAUGUCCAAUCCAUCCUCGGACCUUAUCAUCAAUUUACACAAUUAGCUUAAAAAACCAAACUAACAAACAAUCAAAUCUAGCAAGUGGGUAACCUAGAAGAAAGAAAUAAUAAAAGCGCCAAAUCAAUGACACAGCACUAAUAAAAAAAAUGAAUCGCCAUUUCAGUCAAUUUAUCAGUCUAAUUCCCUGAUUCAUCAAUCAUCACCGUGAUGAUCAUUACCAUCUCCUCCAGCACCGUUCACCACCAACGGUGCUGUUGAUUUUGGGAUCGGCGAUUCUUUACCAUUACUAUCUCUUCCGGCUUCCGGUUUCUUCGGUUGAUGAUCAUCAGUAGUAGUAGUAGUAGUACCACCAUUCUGUUUCACAGUUCUGCCAAAUCCCAACUUCCUCAGCAGCACAUUCCAGCUCCCUUUGCUCUUCGUUAUCAUAAGCUUCUCAAUCUCCUGUUUCAUGCUCAUGCACUCUUUCUCAAGCUCCAUCACUCGCUUCUUCAUCUCAGCCUCCACGUUGCUCUGUUCUUGUAGUACUAUCCCAUCAUCAUCAUCAUCUACACCUUCGUCGCCGUUGAUGUUCCUCACCAGCGCAAGGUGGUUAUUACCGUCGAGGUUUUCCGAUAUGUAGAACCACCCGGCAACUGAGGUGCGGAGUCGAAGUUGUUCGAAGUAGAGAACUUGCACUAUCACGCGAAGGGGUAGCCUUUCGUUCUGUGCUGCGUGAGUGCUUGCCUCUAGUGACAGCUUCUGGCAGUUCAUUAGUCUGCAUAGUAGCUCCCUUUCUGAAUCUGUCAGCCAUGGAUGUGCCUGCCAAAACAAAACAGACAUCGUUGAACUAUAGUGCCGCUUUGCCUUGCCGGAUCCAGGAUGGUUGGAGAUCCUGGUCGGAAAUCAAAAUUCGAAAAAUGAAAAUCAAUAAUGAAUAUGGUUUUUGGUCGGUUUCAAUUUUUUAUAAACACAAUGUUGUACAAAUUUGACAAUACCCGGGGUAUGCUCCCUUGGUCCUAGGGCUGCUGAGGAACCGAGCUACUUUAGAAAAAACAAAAAUAUGAUGAAUGAUUUUGUCUAAUGACUAACUACUUAAUUAGGCAAUACGAGUCUAUGUACAUUUUAGAACAUUGUAAUUUUUUUUAAGUUCAUCUGAGAUGUACUUGGGAUUUAACUCGAUUUGUUAACAAUCGCAAACGAGCCGCAUCGAGCUCGAGCUCGUUAAGCCCUCUAAACGAGCCGAGCCAACCUCGAGCUAAUAAUUAUCUUUUGGAGCCGAGCUCGAACUUGGCUCAAGCCAGGAUCAACCCCUCCCAGACUUGAACAUGAAUGUAGUGCAGAACAAGUUUUUACCUUAAGAUAUAUGUCAAUUGCGCGAUAGAUUCCGUCGUCAAUCGGCCGUGCAUAAUCAGGGAUAAGCCCAGCCAGCGACUGAAACUUAGCAAGCUUAAAGUUGACAUCAGGAGCCACCUCCGCCAGAUAAUUAUCAAUCAAAUUAGCCACCAAUGUCACUGGCGUCAACGAACGGGCACCCUGCUGAUCGUUCAACACAUAAUCAUCCGAUGUCGGAACAUCAUCAUCCCGGUCCACAAACAUGAAAUGAUCAAGCAUCCGUUGAACGCAGUCGAUAUCAUAAAGCGUCUCAGCAGAGUAGCCCACAUUCGGUAUCAGAAGAUCUUCCAAAGCCGCUUGGUCCAACUGUGAUCCGAUCCGCUUCUCCAAAUUGUCCUGACACGACGUGCUAGCGUGCAACAGUAUCGCGGUCCGUAAAAGCCGGAGCAAAAACUUGGUUGGUUCAAUACCGUUCUGAUCAGGCAAAAGCUCAACUAUCUCUUCAAGGAGAUUCCUUUGAUCGGACUGUGGAGUUGUUCUGAUGGUGGAGCCCAAUGCAUCUUGCUUCACAUUCUGGAAGCUUGAUUGUCUCCCAAGUAACGGUAAGUACCUCCUGGCGUAGCUCAUAAGCGCUCCAGAUACCCUCUCGGGCUUCAUACCGUUCGAGAUCACUUCCUGAAUCAACCUCUUGUACAGCGGUAACGUUAAGAAAGACAAAUCUUCAUACCACCAAUCAUCACCAGAUGCCAGAUGAUUCGGCUUGGCUGCUGAUGAUGUCCAUAUUCCAUUCCAGCAAAUGUUAUUGUCAGCACUGCGUGCUGACAUCGGCCAGCUGAACAAACUCGGUUCAGCGCAAGCUUUCAUUGCCAGGGAACGGAUGCAUCUCGAAACAAUGUGCAGCUCUUCCGCAAGAGGGAGAACCUCUUCGCACAUCUCGAGAGCUUGGAGAGAGUCUGUCCAGUGGCUAAACACUUCGUUGAGGAAAUUUUCGGUCUGGUAUAUGAGAUUCCCUUCUCCCUUUUCUUCAGUCAUGCCGAGAUAUUCAGCAGCACAUCGCAGACGGACUAUGUUCAAUGCAUCAAGCUCGAUUUGAACACCGUAGCAGAACUUGGCCACCAGCAAAAAGCUGUUGGUUCCACCAGGUAGAUCGUCAAGUUGGACAAUACAAUUCUCAGUACUAGAUUGUUCUGCAAUAAGAUUUCCUAGUACUUUACUUCUGGUGAGCAGUGGAAACUGGGGAAAAGGUUUAGGAACAAGUAAAAUGAACACAAUUGCUCUGGAUAUGAAUCAAGGUGAAAGAAGAAAUACAACAAAAGAGUAAGCUUGCCAAAAUACACAAAUUCAAGUAAGCUUAAGCCAUGUAGUGGAAAUUACCUUGUGGAGAUGGAAGGAUGAUUCCCCAAUUUCAACCACGCAAUCACUUGGAAGCCCCUCAUAUGAACAGAACCUGCACAUAAUAUGAAAUAAACAGCGUAAGAUCAGCAAGGGAGAAGUCCAAGACUAUAAUUUUGAAUCCCAGAAUGCAAAGCAGCUAAUGAAAGUAUAUGCAAUUGAUCAAAAUCACUAUCCGAGUGGCCACAGAGCUCAUAUAGAGUAUCAAAACAAGAGAAGACCAUGGAUUAUCAAACUCUAAUCGAUCAAAAUCGUCAUUUUCCAUCGAUCAAAUUCAAUGAACCACCCGUGACAGUCAAAUUGUGCAAAAUCAAAACAACGCCACAAUCCUUUUGUAUCUAACACUGAGACCCACAUCCUCUUUGCCAAAAAAAAAGAGACCCACAUCCUGAAUUGUUUGAGUAACAAUCGAUGACUCAGCUGUCGUCAUAACCCAAAAGGAAAAAAAGGAAAGAAAAUAGAGAUAAGUACUACCAGGUAUGACCAUCACGGUGGAAGCACUCAGAAUUCGAUCCCAGCUUCAUGCCCGCCAUCUGUAACGUGGGUAAUGUUCAGAAGGUACGUUUGUUCCAAAAGCACCUGGUGCCGUCGGUUAAAACAAACUAAAGCACCGACGACGGCGACUGAGGAAUCAGAUAGCGAGCGAUAAAACGGUAGGAAAUCCGUCCAGGUAUUGUAUGUUAUUAUACAUCCCGGGAAAUUUGGAAAUAUGACUAUGAGCAUAACAAAUUAAAAAUUAAUUAAUAAUUGACAGUAAUGAAAAUUUUGAAGAGUCCCGAGUCAAGUGGGGGAAAUCCAGGGAGAGAAAAAUAUAAUGGAAAAACGGUGGCUGGACUGUUACGAAAAUGGAGACUCUCUGCUAAUUAAGGCAGUGUUUGCUACCGCAUCCAUUUUUCUUUCCUCUUCUGUUACUAUUUAAUUUCUUUCGAUUUCUAUUUAUCUUUAACAAAUUAAGAAACUUCCUGUUGUUAGUCUGGCCAUUUUGUUGUUCAAUGCACUAAGUCGAAUUAUAGGAAAAAUUAUAUAGUAACUAAUUUCAAAAUCCGAUAAUAGGUUGGGUCGGGGCCUAAUGAGGCCUCCAUAUAUCCAAGGUAGUGAAAUCGAUGAUAAUCGAAAUCAGGAGUUAAAUUUGCCGAUUUCACUUGUUUGAGAGAACCAAAACUUAUUUGAGUAGGUCAUAGUACAUAGUUAAGCGAAUCGAACAUAAAUUUGACUGAAUCAAACACAUAUUUGAGUGAACCGAAAUCGAUUUCUCACAUAUAUUUUUGAAUAUGACAUAGAAUAAUUUGAUGAAUUCGAGCUUGGGAUUCCACUUGACAUAUACUUGGAGAUGAAGAUGAUCUUAUAAAUGAUGAAGAUGUACAUAAAGUGACUCACCAUAUCGAAGAAAAGCACGUAAAAUGUGAAAGUUCGAUGUCAAUGAAACUUUUAAAGGGCAAAGAUGAUGUGGACGAAGUUUUUGAUAAAUUUGUUAAAAUUUUUAGAUGGAUUAUCAUGUUAAUUUGAGUUUGGAUAAUAAACUUAAUCAAUAUUUAUAUAAAAAGGGAUAUUUAAGUAUUUACUAUUUUAAAAAUUUGUAAAAUUUUAUAAUUUUAUGAUUCAAUUUUACAAUUAUAAUUUCAUGUCACUUUUGAAUCCCACAUUAAAUAACAAUUUCACUGCGUGUAUCCGCCACUGCUCACUAUUUAACCCGGAGGCUAGGCGAUAUCAACUCAAGAUAAACAUAACCUGAUAGGUAUACGUUGAUCUAAAUUAGCAUGAGAUUAGAAGAAACGCGCAAUUGAUCCGUGCAGACCUAGAUGGGCCAAUAACCCGGCCUACAAGCUCUGGAAGAAAUGACCCGAUAGGUUUCAGAACUUGUAGGCCGGGCUAUUGGCCAUAUAGGCCUGCAAGGACCAAUAAUGCGAGAUAUUGGGCCGUUGAGCUCAAACCAAAUGACACUCUCUCACUCUCUCCCAUUACUGAGAGAGAGACAGUCAGCUGAUAUGCUCACUGCUUCUUCUCCUUUGCAAUUGUAUCGGGCAUUUUAGGCUCCGAAGACUUCAAAGUCUCUCCACUGAAACUCCGUCCUCUGGCCAGACGCCCUUGGUCAACAGAGAUCACCAGGCAGCCAUGGAGGCUUCACUGAGAUCGCCGCCACGAACUGCCGCCUUCUUGAUCUGCGCAUUUCUCUCGCUUCUCAUCGUUUCAUCCUCCGCCGUGCAGGAGAUCCAAAUUCUCAACGCCGAACGUCGAGUAAGCUCGCUGAUUCCCGCUUUCUCUCCUCCGAAAUGUAAUCUUACUUCGAGUCGUUCCUCCGAUUAGUGAUUGGUUCUUCCCGAUCAUUGCUCUUUUUUCAUUAGCUCUCGAUUUAUGAAUUUCUUGUAUAUGUUUGGGUACUGGACUUCGUCGUUCGAUUUCAUCACAUGAAUUUGAAUUAGCCUGCUUCUCAUUUUCUCGCUUGUAAUGAUUGGUGCAGAUUGACUUGAGUUCACAGAUUGCUGUGGUAUUCUUGACUCUAAAGGUAUCGAUUUAUUAUCGAAAUGUCUCCUUGUUUUUGUUCUGAUAAUUGUACAAUCAGCUGGGUGGAAAUGCACUUAAGGUUGGUGGCGAACUCUUUUCAGGUCGAAAAUACAGGAAGUGCAGCUGCUUCUGAAAUCCUUCUUGCAUUUUCUCCCACUGAAUCCGAUCACCUGGCAGUGGUCAAGGCAAAAGUGGCUAGCGGAAAGAAAAGGAAGAAAACAUACGUACAGCUUGAUGUUAGUCCAACAGAGGUACCUGAUGCACCAAGUGGAACUAAGUAUCACAAAGUGUCGUUGGUUAAUCCUCUAAGCCCUGGUGAUACAACCACCCUUGAAAUUCUAUAUAUGUUGACACAUUCCAUGGAACCUUUCCCUGCGGAGAUUAGUCAAUCAGAACCGCAGCUGGUGUACUAUCGUGACAGUGCACUUAUACCGUCACCGUACCAUAUUAAGAAGCAGGCAACUUUUGUCAAAACACCAAGCACAAAUGUUGUAUCAUAUACUAGAGUGGAGCCGACUAACAAAGCUGGUAUAGAACUAAAGUAUGGACCAUAUGAAGAUCGUCCUGCAUACUCGUUCACUCCAGUGUUGGUUCAUUUUGAGAACAACAACCCAUUUGCUGUUGUUGAGGAGCUUGUACGUGAAGUUGAAAUCUCACAUUGGGGAAACGUUCAGAUUACGGAGCACUAUACAUUAGCUCAUGGUGGUGCUAGACUUAAGGGAAUUUUUUCUAGGUAAAGGUUAUUCCUAAAUUUCAGUUUCUGUGUUUUGCAACUUAAUAUCUGUUUCUGAGUAAGUUCCCUAUGUUUUUCAGGGUUGACUAUCAAUCUAGGCAAUCUACUGGCGGUGUAUCUUCAUUCAAAAACUUUCUAGCAAGACUGCCUCCUAGGGUGCACUCUGUAUACUAUCGAGAUCAAAUCGGGAACAUUUCCUCUUCUCGUCUGCGUACAGAUUCUCGCAAGGUAUCUGAUCUCUAGGACUGAAAACCAAAGCCACCAGCCUGUUAGCAUCACCUUUACUUUUAUCUCCAUGUGUACUGACUAAACACUUUGAACAGUCGGAGCUUGAAAUUGAACCACGGUAUCCCCUGUUUGGAGGGUGGAAAUCCACCUUCAUAAUUGGAUAUGGCCUUCCGUUGGAAGAUUUCCUCUUUGAAGCUGCUAAUGGCACGAGAUAUCUCAACUUUACCUUUGGCUGCCCUCUGUCUGGGACCGUUGUAGACAAGUUGAUCGUGAAGGUAGUUUUGUGUGUUUCAUAUUUCUUAAGAAUCACGAUAUUUCGGCGACUUUGUAUUUAUAUUUUUCUCUGGUUUUUUUUUUUGCUGAUGAGUAAAGAUUCUGUUCAGGUUGUGUUGCCAGAAGGAUCCAAAGAUCCUUCCGCUGAAGUUCCCUUUUCAGUGGAGCAACAUCUAGAGGUAAAUGUGAACGAAAUCAGUCCUCAGCCCUGUUCAAGAUAACUUUGAACUGAUGCAUCAAUUGGCACUUCAUAAUAUUCAUCAUAAAUUGGAAUUUUCGGAAUUCCAUUUGUUUAGAUAUUGUUGUAAGGCCUCAUGCAAAGUAAGACCAUAACGACCUUGAAGCAUGUAUCAUAACCAACUAAGAUGGUUUCUGAAUGCGACUAUGUGCAGACUAAGUACUCAUAUCUUGAUGUUGUCGGAAGGCCUGUUAUGGUUAUAGAGAAGAAGAAUGUAGUCCCUGAGCACAAUACCCCCUUUCAGGUAUUUUCUAAUUUGCUUGUAUUCCUUUACAGUAGUACCUUCAUACCUCAGGGCUCAGUCCAUUGGCGCAUGUUUUUUCGAUAUUGAGAUAUGGGGAUGAAAUUAUAACUGUCUUAGCAUUGAAACUGUGUUCAUACAGUGAACAACCCUACGGCCUACAUAUACAUAGUGCACUCUGGAUAAUCAUCUUAGUUUUUGAUUUUUUUGUAAAUGAUCAUUAACCAUGUUUUUUAACUCAUCUCGUGACAGGUGUAUUAUACGUUUAACCCAGUGUUCAUGCUAGCAGAGCCAUUGAUGCUGGUGUCAGUCGUUUUCUUCCUUUUCGUGUCAUCUGUAGCUUACCUACAUAUGGAUCUUUCAAUACGCAAAGGAUAGAAACCCAACCGGCCCUCUCUCCCAAGGUAUUCUGCAUUUCCAACUCGCUACUGACGUAAUCAGUCAUCUUUGUUCUAGUUUCAACUUUGAUAUUGAACUGAAAUUUUGUAGUUGUAUGGAUGUUUAUGUAUCUGGAUGUACUUACGGAUCCUGUACUCUGUAGAAGCCCUCCAACACAUAAUUUGGUUGCUUCUAGUGCCAACGAUCAGGACCACUUGGACUCUCAGGUUACGAUAGAAUACAGCACACUGUUGCCCUAUUCUUGUGUCAGUAAUAGAAUUUUUUUUAUAGUAAUGCAUACGUUGUUGACCAGCCAAGCCGCUCGUGAAUAGCUCGUAAAUCCUACUAAACAACUCAUUCGAAAACUUGGCUUGUUAGCUGGCUCCAUAGUAAUCAAGCUGAGUUCGAGCCAACAUCGACUCUGCUCGUGAGCUCGUUGAGUCAGUCUUGUGGGCCAGCUAGCUUUUGAGCCGGCUCGUUUAGUAAGCAGGCUCAAUUGAGAUUGCUUGUGAACCUGAUCGCUUUGUGAGUCUGUUUGAUUAUCAUCUCGAUAGUUUAGCUUGCCAGCUAGCUUGAUUUUUGUCUUUUGAUGAGCUUCGUUUUAAACCUUUCAAGAUCUACUUACGAGCUGAGCUCAGUUACAAUGGUUAUCGAGAUGAGUGCGUUAUGGCUAUUGAGCUCAGGCCGUUAAUCGUGAUUUUCGAACUGAGUGAGUCCACCAAAAAGCAAACGAGGUUAGCUAGGUCGGCUUGUGCAUAGUACUACGGUGUGGUAAUUUUUCCGUCCUUCAAGUACCAGUCAUACUGUAAAAACUUAAAAAAUUAACAAUAAUUUAGUACUCGAAACCGGAAUGGAAGUAAAGGGCAAGACUCCCCCUAGUUCCGUCCAUGAGUACACAUACGAAACACGCAAUGGCGCAUCGUACGUCUUUAUUACCAAGGGGAAAACAAACAAACACAGAUAUACUAGGAAAGAAAGUACAGAAGACACUUAAAGCUAGUUAAGCUAGCUUUCUCUCGACGCUUCCACUUCUUCAGAACGAAGUGGAGCGGAUGCUGAUCCUGCAACUGGCGGGGCUACUCACGCACUUCCCGGGCAGAGUCUCCGCGAGCCGCUGAGCCGCCUGCACAUCUAAAGCACCCCAGGUCUGCAACCCUCCUUGCUUCAGCUGGCAACUGGCGGGGCUACUCACGCACUUCCCGGGCAGAGUCUCCGCGAGCCGCUGAGCCGACUGCACAUCUAAAGUACCCCAGGUCUGCAACCCUCGUUGCUUCAGCUGCAGCAUGGCCUCCACGGCCCUCUCGAGGCCCAUGCAAGUGCACUCGGAGUCCAUCCGCCUCAGCUGGUUGCAGCACAUGUUGAAAUGCCCCUGCGGGUCUUGUUGGCCCCACGUGGACCAUCCCCGGGUCUCGCGGCCAGCCUCCUGGACCAGGUACUGCUGGCAGUGGUUCAGGUACCCUUGGUCCUGCAGCUGCUGCGUGCAGCUCCCUCUGCCGAUUACGUUUUCGGCCUCUUCGAUGAUCACGGUGGUUCGGACUGAUGAUGCCUCGGACGCCAGUGCCGCCAGGAGGAGGAAUGCGAGUGCUGCUGCAUGCUUCGCCAUUUUCGGAAAAUGUCUGGUGAGUUGGAUUGGGAUUGUGAUGUAUGGAGUAAGAAGGGGAAGAGAGGGUGUUUAUAUAGGGGAGAAGAGGGAUUUGCAUGGCGAGUACGUGGUGGGGAGUUUUCGUUUACACGUUGUUGGUGAGACCAUAUAUACCUACCAAGGAGUUCCCCAUUCUGACGACGUCUCAGAUGGCUGCAUCCAGGGACGGUAUUAUUGCGAAGGCUUCUGAUGACUCAUCAGUUACCUUCGUUAUUAACGGCUCUUUUGUGGGGAUUCUUGUCUGUUAGUUUGUGUAUCUCGAGAGGUGGCAUUAAUACAAGGUAGAACAUUUGUGGAGAUUUACCCUUAACACCACACCAUAGAGGUGCGUUCGUAGCUUAGUUGGUAGCACAGUGUAUUAGUAAUUCAUACCGUUUUUAUUAAAAUUACCAAUCGAACCAAAAAUUAUAUUCGAAUUGUGAAUUUAUUCCAAUAUAAAACCACAUUCUAACCCAACCAAAAUCAUAAUAUUGGUAACAAAUACUCUGCAUUGGUUUAAUAAUGUUUUCGGGUCUAUCUAGAUUAUUCUUUAUAGUUGCAAAUAAUGUAUGUCGAUCAAAAGACUGUGUUAUAACAUUCUCCGUAAAUACCUGGAUAUCGACAUACUUUGUGGUCAUAUAAAUUAUAAGGUAUAAUUGAUUCCAUUUUUUACUCUUUUUUACCUUUUUUGUCUUCCAAAGUCAGACAAGACAGAGAUGUGUCACCAUAAAAGAUUGAAAACAAAAAAACACAAUAAUUGUGUCCAUGUGAUUGUAUGUUUGAUUCAAACUCGACUUCGAAAUUAACAACAUACAACAUAACCAACAACGUUACUCACCUCACACCCUACUUCCUCUACAUUUUUGCUAAGCCUGAUAUUUGUGCCAUGUGUAUAGAUGGACACUUAAAAAUUGGGCAUGCGAGUGGGCUGCAAACUCAGCCCAUUCGUUGGAAAGCCCAUACUCCAUUAUUAGAAUUCAAUUCCCAGUUACAGCAUCAAAAAUUAUUAAGGGGUCGUUUGGUUGGUAUGAUAUUAAAUAUUAAGAUAUUGAAAUAUUUUGAUAUUAAAUGUGUUUCACAUUGAGUAGAAAUUGUUGUUUGAUUUUGAAUUUUAAUAUUGAAAGUACGUUUAUACCCUUACCCAUUACAAAGUGCUAAGCCUACCACUACUUUCUUAAUUUCUGUCCUCCUUAAUUACUUAUGCUCUCAAUUCCUUCCCUCUACAAUCUACAUCCAAUCCCUCAUACCAAUCUGAAUUACCCAUUAAAAAGUGAUAUUGAAGGCUGUUUGAAACUUCACCAUAUUUGAUGAAUAUUGGAUUUAUAUAUUUUAAAAUAUUUACGGUAUAGAAUAACUAGUUAUUUACAAUCAUAAAUAUAAAAUAAUUUUGAAUAAUUAAUUAUUAAAUACUAUAUAACACUCAUACCAAACUAUCCCUAACCAAUUUGGGGAAACAGAAAUAUCUUCAGCUUCUUCACCGUGUUCAACCUCCUGAUUCCGUUGCGACCAUCUCUCAAUCGCCCAGGUUUUUGCUCCGAUCCGUCUUCUUUCUUCAUUUACCUUUAGCCAUACGCUACAUCCAUCGACUGAGUCAGUUCAUAGUCUGUGUAAGGCUUUUGUGCAUGACAACGAUAGAGACAGCAGCCGGCCGCCCGCGGAAGACGGUGGACGGCGGCGUUGUUCCUACUCCCGCCGCUGCUGCUGCAACCAGCAAGGUUGAACAGAGCAAAAUCGGGUCGUUCAAAAGAUGGGGAAGGAGGUAUCCGUUUGUGAGAUAUGGACUCCCCAUGAUUUCCCUCACUGUGAUCGGUGCUCUUGGCCUUGGUCAUCUCUUGCAAGGCAGGUUAGUAAUGAUUUUUUUUUUGUGUGUUUUUAUUGAUAAAGAACUUAACUUUGAGCUUGUGAUCAGUCUUCAGUGCACAUGUGUUCUAAAUUCACCUAUUGGAUACCUUUUUCCCCUAAUCUAGAUCUGUAUUUAUCAAAAUUUCAUGCUAGGGUCUGAAACUGAAUUAGGAUUUGAACUUUUACAAUUAUUGAGUUCAUUGCCGAAUCAUUAUGAUGUUCUGUUAUUCUAAAAUGUGGCAGUUUCUGUAGUUCAGCAAAGAUAUUGCUAAAGUAAAAGACGAUCAAGAAUGGGAGAUCAUUGAGACUAGGAAGGCACUGUCAAGAACGGGGCCUGUCAAUGCUUAUAAACCCAAAAAGAUUUCAAUGGAAGAGGAGCUGCAGGUAUUGUUUUGGCGUGGUUUUAACUGCAUGAUAAGAGUGUAAAAACUGCACAAUGACUUACCCUUUCUUCUGUUUCUCUUUCGUUUCCUGCAGGCUCUGCAGCAGAAAGUGAACAUAGACAACUACGAGUACAAGAAAAUUCCAAAGCCAAAUGAAAGCUGAUGAAGAUGAAAGCUUUUCGAUUCACUGCCGAUGUUACAGUGCAAUGGGACCGGAGAUCCAGACGUUAUCUUUCCUUAGAGUUGUUCAAGCAGAAGGUUAUCAGAGAGCCCUUUGCCCCUACAGUUUUGGUUAACAAUAACGGGAUCGAUGUACUGAUUUCUUUUAUCAGUCUCUAGUUAUCAGUAGUUUGUAUCAGUCGUCAUGUAGAAUUUUCCAUCCCUGUGUUCGUUCCUCAAUUAAAUCAGCCUCAGUUCCUUUUAAGCUAGUUGAACUAAGUUAGAAUGAGGCAGUUGUUUCAGUUUAUAGCGAGAAUUGUAUGUUAGUGGCAACAUAUAAUCAAUUUUGGUCUCUUACUGUAUUUACUUCAAUGUGGAAAGUGAAUAGCCUAAAAUUUAGAUGGUAAUGGAAAAGUUUGCUUUCAAAAUUAUUUUGUCGUGAUUUAAUUUUCUCGUUUGGUCAGAAAAUACUCAAGAUUUCAUUCAAUUUGUCCUAUGUCAAACCAAGUCCUCCAUGUUCUCAGCCUCAACUUGAUUAGGAAAAUCUUUUGCAAUAACAAACACUAAACAGACUGUUCCAAUCCUGGUUUUCAGAACCUUAUUUGAAUAUCCAAUUGGUGAGGCUAACAGUAUAUGGUUUAACCUCCCAAACAGAAAUUGCAGUUGAACUGUGAUUCAAGCAUAAUUAUAUCAAAAUUGCAUUAGCUGUUUGAAUGACUGGUUCAAGCUCAAAUCGUUAAUAUGGUUGUAAAACAAUGGUUCUAAUGCAAAAUAACUAAAUAAAACAGGAACAAAGGGAAUUGAGAGGAUGUAAACUUCAUAUAUCCAGGUGAAAAGCUUCACCUCAACCGUUCUCCACAAUUACAGGCUUUUAUAACCCCCAACAGUUCUUCCUUCCCACCAUAAAAAUGCCCCCCAUUUGCUCCCCCGCCUUCCUAUUUACACCCCCCAACAACAAACAUCAAAAAGAAGUAAUUCAAAACCCUAAACCCCUACUCUCUCUUCCCAUUUUCCUUCUUACCCUCCCAUAUACUUUCUUCACCACUUCCCCUACAGUUUCAGUUAACAACAACGGGAUCGAUGUACUGAUUUCUGUUAUCAGUCUCUAGUUACUUAUCAGUAGUUUGUAUCAGUCGUCAUGUAGAAUUUUCCAUCUGUGUUCGUUCCUCAAUCAAAUCAACCUCAGGAACAUUUAAGCUAGUUGAACUAAGUUUGAAUGAGGCAAUUGUUUCAGUUUAUAGCAAGAAUUGUAUGUUAGUGGCAACAUACAACAUAUAAUUAUUUUUGGCCUCUUACUGCAUUUACUUCAUUGUGGAAAGUGAAUCGCCUGAAAUUUAAACAGCACCGGAAAAGUUCGCUUUCAAAUGACUUUGUCGUGAUCUAAUUUUCUCGCAUGGUCAGAAAAAUACUCAAGAUUUUAUCCAUCAAACCAAGACCUCAAUGCUCUGAGCCUCAACCUGAUUAUAGUUUCCGAGGAAAAUCGUUUGCAAUAACAAACACUGAACAGAUUGUUCCAAUCCUGGUUUAACCGUCUAAACCGAAAUUGCAGUUGAACCGUGAUUCAAACCCAAUUAUAUCAAAAUCGCAUUAGCUGUUUUAAUGACUGGUUCAAGCUCAAAUCGUUAAUAUGGUUGUCAAACACUGGUUCUAAUGCAAAAUAACUAAACAAAACAGGAACAAAAGGAAUUGAGAGGAUGUAAACUUCAUAUAUCCAGGUGAAAAGCUUCACCUCAACCCUUCUCCACAAUUACAGGCUUUUAUAACCCCAAAAGUUCUUCCCUUGCCACCAUAAAAAUGCCCCCCAUUUGCUCCCCCACCUUCCUAUUUACACCCCCCAACAACAAACAUCAAAAAGAAGUAAUUCAAAACCCUAAAGCCUACUCUCUUCCCAUUUUCCUUCUUACCCUCCCAUAUACUUUCUAACCCCCAACAGUUCUUCCUUCCCACCAUAAAAAUGCCCCCCAUUUGCUCCCCCGCCUUCCUAUUUACACCCCCCAACAACAAACAUCAAAAAGAAGUAAUUCAAAACCCUAAACCCCUACUCUCUCUUCCCAUUUUCCUUCUUACCCUCCCAUAUACUUUCUUCACCACUUCCCUCAGUUGUUAUUCAUUUACACAAUUGAGGCAACCAAAAUCCAAAAGUCAAAAAGAGUAAAGGAAUCCCACCGCCUUCUUUUCCCCCCUCUAUCUCCUCCCACUACCAAAGACAUCUUGAAACAAAAUGUGAAACCAUAUUCAGACCAUCACCUUGGCUUUGGUUGGGAACCAAACGAUAGCAACGGCUGGAGAAGUCGCUGGCCGGCAGAUGGACUCCCCACGAACGUUGUCUGAGACCGAGUGAGCAUCUCAGUCAUCGAAGGGGUCUGAUAAGAGUGAACAAGGCUCGAACCGCCCUCGAACCGCCUGUGGUCGAGUCCCCUCUUGCCGUAGCUCUUUGCCACGAAUGCGAGCUCAAACCCGACAGUAUAUAUGCUCUCCCAGAAGACUCGUACACGUUCCUACUUGUCAUCCGAUCCUGCAUUUCCUUUAGCUCCGCGUCCAGUGCAACACAUAACCGGUCCUUCGAUUUAGCUGGCAUGGUUUUCGACAGCUCUUUACGACAAUUCUCAAGGAUGGAAGCUGCCCUGGUUAGGUCUCCUUGCUCCGCUGCAGUUCUCGCUUGUGACAUCGCCUCGGCAGCCUUCAACCUGUUCCGCUGCCUGUCAACUUCGAUCGAUACCGCUUCCUUCCCAGCAGCUGCUUCAGCUCUCUGAAGCAUAACUUCUUCACCUUCCAAAGUGGCCAUCUCUUUGGUCAACGGAUCCUUGUAAAAGCAUUUAACUUUAAGCAAUGAGGUUUGACCAUUUGAAGGCUGCUCUUCUGGAACAUUGAGAGACACAAGAAAAUUCCUUUCUUCAUCUGCAUACAAAUCUCCUACAUCAAUAUAACCGGUGCAUCGAUCAGCAGACACACGACUUUGAUAGCUUCCAGCUUUCAGAGAUCCGAGCUUGAUGUUAGGAUUCACAGAUUCAACUUCCACCUGCAACUCCUGUACCACAACACUCAAAAGCCCUCCAAUACACUGUGCAAAUGCAUCCUGGAUGAUGGCUUCUGUCUCGAUGAAUGAAAAGGUUCCCCCCGAGAUCUCUGAAAUCGAAUGCAUUGAUGAAGCAUCAUGAUCUGCUCCGAAGCCAAAUGAAUGCACCGGAAUCUGGAAAGCAGCACUCUCGCCACCAUCGAUGGAGAGAGGAAGGAGCAACCGGUAAUCCGGUUGAGACUGAUUACCACCACCACCACUAACAGUGUAAGUAUCCUGACCGUCGGAUAGCAAUAUUAUGCUUGCAACAGGAUUCUUUUCCUUCCUCUCUUCCAUUACCUUAGCACCCUUUCUCAAACCUUCAGCUAUAUUGGUCCCACCAUUGGCAAGCAAAGAGUUCACAGCUUGAAGUGCUUGCUGCCUUCCAGCAUCAGACAUUCGUCGCAGUGGAAAGAGGCGCCGAGCUGUUGAUGAGAAGGCAAUAACCGAGAGCCGGUCAUUAGAACCGAGAUUCUGUAUCACAAACCCCAUAGCUCUCUUAAGCAAUGCCAGUUUCGUUCCUGCCAUGCUACCGCUGGUGUCAAGAACAGUGACUAGGUCAACCGGAGCACGAGGACUCCGAGAAAGUUGAGGCUGGUUUUGUCUCAUAAUUGUGGCAGCAGCUUUAAGAUUGACAAGGACAGUGAAGUUCUCAUAAGAGCUGGAAUGUGAUGCUGCUGUAACCUCGGGGUAUACCUUGAUGUCGAUUGAUGUACCAGAAAUGCAACUAGUGCUUCUGCCAGGAAUUCUCGGCUGGAUGUCUAGAGUCUCGUCGUCAUCGAACACACUAGGUUCAACAGCCUGAAGUAAAGGUACAAUGUGCCUCCUACUUGGGUCGCGACGAGGGGGAGGUAAUCGGCGUACCACAUUCAUCAAAGCAUCAUUGUGAGGCCACCCUACAGCGUUGAUGGAGGCUCUCCCGGGUGGAGGGUCUAGGUUUGGAGCCUGCAAAGGGAUCUCUUUCCAUUUUGCUCUGCAAACUGGACAGAUUUGGUUUCCAUGCUUCACAUUGGAAGCAAUGCAAUGGAAAUGGAACGAAUGUGAGCACUCUGCCGUGAAUAGAGCUUGGCCGCCUCCUUCUUUCAUUUUGGUCAGGCAUAUUGAGCAGGUAUGCUGAAAAUCAUUGAUAAAAAGAAAAAGUUCCAAUUAGUACACGAUCGAUCUCCAUCGUAUCAAUUGUGUAGCUUUUGCUUCAUAUUGAUCCUAAAAGUUUCAAUAUUCAACUCAGAAAGAUGGCCAAAACCAACCAGACUCAAAGCCACAAGUGAGGCAAGACAAAGACUGGUGAUCUAAGUAUGAAUAUUAACUCCUGAAAGAGAUAAGUAAUCAAGCUGAGGACUUUUGAAAGGUAACCAAGCAACUAUUUAAAGAUACAGAUGAACCCAUCCACUAUAAGAAAGGGAAAUGAUAACUUGGCUUUUAUCAUGCUUCCCUUUUCCCCAUCUUUGCUUUUCCUUGUUUGAUGAAUUUUCACACCUACAGGGACCUCCAACCAAACCACUCAAACAGUUCAAGACACCAUUUCAAUUCUGCUUUAUUUCCCUCUUACUUACAAGAUAAGGAGUCAAUAUUGAUGCACUACAGCUUUCCUUUAACUGUUCCGGCAAAUGCAAAUGGCCAGAGAAAGGGACCUAGGUCACUAACUCAAAUUGAACUUGACAUCACCCCCAUCCAUAUAAUCACUCAAUAAUUUCAAAUUUGAGAACUGUUCUUCCUUCAAUUUCACCGACUUCAAACAUCAAGAAGAGCAACACAUAUCUAGUUGAUGCUAAGCUUGUUAUAUACACAGAUUAUAUCAACUCCAUACCUCAUUCUUGCUCAAAGAUUAUUAAAUUAACAGUCUUUGCACUUUGAAACCAAAAAUGUGCAAUUUCUAUUGUCAACACCAAGAGAGGAAAACACAAUAGAAGUAAAUUUUGAGCAUCGAAAGUGAUGUUUGAUAAGAAAAUUGGACAAAUAUAUACACACAACUAGACUCCUCAUCCUGGAAUAAUCACUAAAAGAAGAGACUUUCUUCAAUCAACAGCAGAUAUGCAUAGGUACCAUCAUGAGACCUAAAACAUAAAAGGUUUUGAAGAACGCCAGGAGAAGGAACAAUCUCUAUGUCUUCAAAAAAAACUUGGGAUUUUACCAGAAUUAUAACAAUUCAUGUUUCUUUUCUCUCAGCAUCCAAACACAUCUCACAUCAACCAACUAAAGAAAGUAACAUGCAGCUGAAACACUUCAAAACACUUGCAAGUUCAACAAAAGAGGCACGGAAAAUUAUGAAAACAAACCAGCAAAGAAAUAAACCUUAGAGGCUUUGCUUCCACUUCUGAGCAGCUUCAAACCAUGAGAAGAAGGUGUGGGAGUCAUUGGCCUAACAUCCUCCCAGCCGGCAGGGGAAAGGAGGGCAACAUCUGAAACUCUCUCAGCUGGUGCUGGAGGGGAAUCACCACCAUCAAGUGUUCUUGGCACAUACACACAAAGAUUCAUACCCAAAGCCAGUUUUACUUUCCUCCACUUACUCCCCAUUUUUCUCCCACUUGAACAAAAGAUUCAAGAACCCAGAAAACCAAAUUUAAGAAACAGGGGAGGCCAAAGACCAAGAGAAAAAGAACAGAUCUCAAAGCACUUUUCUUUUGGUUUGGAGUCAAGCUGCUUUCUCUCCAAUCCUUGUAAACAACAGUGGUGGUGUUGUUUUCUUUCUUGGAAUGUGAGAGAGAGAGAUGGAGAGAGAAAAGAGGAAGAUAAUGGUGGGUAGCAAAACAAAAGUUGUAGGUUUUAGAGGGUUUUAUAUAACAUAUAAAAUGACCAUGAAAAUGUGAGCUUUGUGAUUAAAGACAGAGGCCAGCCAAAUGACGAAGAAGCAAAAGGGAAAGUGAAAAACUAAAGGGAGGUUGUCAAAGGAGAGAAGAAGCUGUUGAGAUUGAGAAGAGCAACAAGCCAAGGAGAAGAAGGAAGAAGGAAGAAGGAUUUUGAAGCUAUAGCGGUGUUGUUUUUGUUGUUGUCGUUUGGCUUGUGGAGUUGCUGCUGAUGGCGGCCAUUGAGUAGAGAAAAGAUGUGAUUUUUAAGAGAGGGGAUAUCUGAUUUUGACCUUUUGGGGUUUGGAAUUUAUUUGGAUGUUUGCUUUUGGUCAGAGGGUGCUUAAUGGCCAUUACGAUUUUCAUUCAUUCAACUGAGUCGUAAAAAGCAGGAGACGGCAAUAGAGACAGAGCUUCAUGUUUUUCUUUUUUGAAUUGUAGAAGAAGAAAAGUAAAAACUCUUGAUGAAAUUAAUAAUUUUUUUGAUUUUUUUUUAAUAUUGCACGAAGAGAAUUUGUGAGUGAUUUCGAGUCAUAUCAAUUAUCGGUUAAAUGGAUUAAUCGAUUUUUUUGUCGGUGUUCUUUUUGAUUAGUCUGCUGUGAUCAUACUAAAAGACAAACAUGGAUUAACAAUAUGGUUGAUUUGUGUUUGAGCAACUCUAUAAGUACAUUAAGUCUUGAACCACCUAAAUUUAGUACUCACUAGUCCACUCUAAUAAGUCAUUAGUUCUCUUAUAUAUGCUUGAUCAUUUCUCUUAAGGUGAUUAAGCUAUUAUAUUUUCAUUAAUAAACUUUAUGAUAUCUUUUGUUAUGGAGUAUUGACGACUCUGAUCAUAAAAUUACGUAAACCCGUCAUUUCAAUUUUGUUUAUUUUAUUCAUAAAUCUUAGAAGGAGAUUCCUAGUAAAGACUAAAAUUGUGAGUCAUUUUUAAUAAAUAUUUAUAGGAGUAAACAAUAUUAGUGUUGAAUGUAUGAUGAUCAAAACUUAAAAUAAGGAGACAUGGCCUCCAUUACCUUUGCAGCCUUUUUCCAAUAAAAAAGAAGUACAUGUUUAUUGAUUUAGGGUCCAUAGUCCAUCACUAUGUCCAUUAGUUGAUUAUUAACGUUCAUGUCUAGUUUCAGUUUUGGUCACCAGAUUUUUGUUUUCAUCCCAUUGACCCCCCCAAUUAAUUGCUUGUGAUUUGGAGUCCACUCUACGGGCAACCCAGUUAAUUCAACUGUUGAGGGAUGAAAGACCUGUUGAUAAAAACACAUGUUGUUGUUCCGAUCGCUAGCUAUAAAACAUACAACUUCCUUGAAACAGGAUUAGAGUUGUAUUUACGUGUGGACAUUCAGUUAUGGUUAACAAUCGAGUAAGUGACUGAUUUUAAUCAAUUAAUCGUUUAAUGUAAAAUAAGUUGGUUAAUCAAUCGGUUAAGAAUUUGAAAUUAUUUGAAACCAAAAUAACAUUUUAACCACCUUUCAAUUUUAUUUAUAUUUUAUGCUUAUUUUGAUCAGUACUUAAUUAAUCGAUCAUCGCAUGAAUAAUUCAUAACUAUAUUUAUAAUUAACCGAUUAAUUAUGAUCGAUUAUUAACCACAAAAAAACUCCACCUCUAGUUGUAUUUUUAUCUAACUAAUCUAGGACCGUUCUAAAUGUGUUGGGCUAAGGUGGAAUAUUAAAGUUGGAUUAUGUUCACAUGGUUGUGUUGAUUGGUCAGCUUAAAGUGGUUAACGUCGGGCCAUGACGUGAAAUUGGUCAAACUCCGGCUAAAAUUAUUAAUUAAAUGCCAAUUUGACAAUUCCAAUUACGUUAAUGAAAUACGAUUCCAAUUAGUAUAUUUGUAUUUGUAAAUUUAUUUGGAUCGAGGUUUGUGUAGAUAAUUUGAAUUUUUUUUACUUUUGUUUUCUUAUUUUCGUUGGAACACUGAUUCCUUUCGAUAAAAAUUUCAUUUCUAAAAAAUAAAAGAGGUACAUUAAUGGUUAACUCAUUUUGCUUAUUUGUCUAUUUUGUUAACUCACUCNNNNNNNNNNNNNNNNNNNNNNNNNNNNNNNNNNNNNNNNNNNNNNNNNNNNNNNNNNNNNNNNNNNNNNNNAAAAUAAAAUUAAGAGCCGAGUUGAUGUGGAAUCAUCAUGGUCACCAAGAAAAUAUUAAAACCUUAGGUUUUAAAAUCACAUUUUGAGAUUUUCACUACCCAUUUCGAUAUAGUUGUGAAUACCACUAUACAUAUAUUAAUCAUUUAUCCGACCCAACUCAUAAGAGCUAAAAAAUAUCAUACUCCGUUAUAUUGUCGUGCAAUUUCCCUGAUCAAAAUCUUCUUCAUUUCUUUCAGUUUGAGCUAAAAUUUUCCUACGAACCUUAAUCUUUCUUUCUUUUAUUAGCUAAAUUAAAAAAAAAUGUAGAUAAAUUGUGAAUGUGAAUGUCUAACUGAAUCCCCAAUUCAUAUGUAUAAUACGACACUCUACACUUAUAAAAAUUUAAACAGUUUGAUACACAAUAAAUAGUUAAAUAUCCAUGAAACACCUAUCAAACAUCCACACCCUACCCGUUCCCCGCCCCUAGCUACUACUCAUCUUCGAACAUGUACUCGAGUAUGUCAAAAACCAAAGGGUUUUUUUUGACAAAAUUGGAGUGUGAUGAUGAAUGGAACUUGGGGGUGGACUGCACACCUCCACGACUGUGAUGAUGAAGAAUGAUUUUGCAUCACUACCAUCCAAUAUCUCUAGCUAUAUAUAAUAAGUUAAAAAUCUAAUGUUGUUUCUUUCAAGCUUAGCUAUAGAGGGAGGGAAUCAUGGUCCUCUUCCUUGUAAGUAAUUAUCAUAUCCAUGUCUUUUAUUUUUCACCCACCCUGAGAUCAAGGGCGCAAAGCCCGCACGUGCACAUCAUCACACACACACACACACUUUGCUCAUCUCAUGAUCAUCCCCCCCCCCCCCAACACAAAGUCAAUUAUACACUCAUAUGGGUUUGACAUAUUUCUCUAUAAUAAUAUGCCCUUUUGGAAAAAUUUCCAUGUCUUUAGGGUUUCUUAUGUGGGGUUGAUGACUUCAUUCAUAACGGUAGGGAUCAUAAUACUAAGGUCCGAAGGUCGAAGGUUAAGUUUUAGGUUCACGAUAUGUGAGGUUCAUGAGGAAUAUACGGUUUUAUGAGAAAUCUGCAUGUGUUAAUGAUGGAGAUUUACUCAUAUGGAUGUCAUUAAGGCGUGAUAUAUAUGGUAAGAUAAUGAUAUAUCAGAGGCUAGUUUGAUUAAAUGGUUGUGAGUUUGAUUUUUCACGACCUAUAAUCUUAACAUUUGAUUAAAUAUAAGAUAUGAUGGGUAUGUGUAAACUUUAAGUACGUAAGUUGGCUUUCAUAUAAGGAGAAUAUAAAAAAUUGAUACAAAAUUUAUAAUUAACUUUCUUUUAACAAUUUAAAUUACUGAAAUGUAACGAUUCUCUGAAAAAACAAAUCAUCUUAAACAAGUCAAUGAACGAGGUGGACUAUGAAACUGGACAAAUCCAUGGAUCUGAUUCUUGAAACCAAACAAUUAAUUACAGAGGUUCAAAAUGGAAUAUUUCUCACGUAGCGAGUUCCCAUGUGUUUAAGAAUUGCUGCUUUGAGGACAUAAAUUAAUUAAAAAUACGUGGAAACGUGCGGCAGGAACAUAACAUUAGUUGUUGGUAUACGCAAACCAAACCGGACCUGAUCGAUGAAUGCUGCCUCAAUAUUUGGCAUUCAACGGUCAACCAAACUGGCGCAUCUAGAAUCCUUCAAUGUCUUCCACUUUCAAGAGCCACCACACAACACACAACUAUUCCUAUUGCAAAUUUCACCUUCUUGAUUCUAGUUUAUUUGGUGGUAUAAUAUAGGAGGUGGAUAUGGAUCGGAACUCUUACCCUUUAAAUAUUUUGUUAGUUUGAAGAUUGGUUGAUUCGAAAUAUAUAAUUUGGUGGUUAUCCAAUACGAGAGUAAUUACUAGAUGGAGUUGUGUCUUUUCAGAUUCAAGUUAUAUCAACCCUAUAUAUUAAGUAUUUUCAGAUUUAGAAUUCUGCUACACAACAUAUUUAAAAAAUGGAACAUUUUUAGUGAUUUUUUCCUUUAAACCAAUCACCUUUAAAAUAUUUAUUUUCUUUAUUUUUUUUAUUUUAAUUUUUAAAUUCUCUCUCACACUCACAUCUUUCUUUUCCCUUUUAAUUAAUUUUUUCUUUAUAAAAUUUUUAUAGUUUACUCAAAANNNNNNNNNNNNNNNNNNNNNNNNNNNNNNNNNNNNNNNNNNNNNNNNNNNNNNNNNNNNNNNNNNNNNNNNNNNNNNNNNNNNNNNNNNNNNNNNNNNNNNNNNNNNNNNNNNNNNNNNNNNNNNNNNNNNNNNNNNNNNNNNNNNNNNNNNNNNNNNNNNNNNNNNNNNNNNNNNNNNNNNNNNNNNNNNNNNNNNNNNNNNNNNNNNNNNNNNNNNNNNNNNNNNNNNNNNNNNNNNNNNNNNNNNNNNNNNNNNNNNNNNNNNNNNNNNNNNNNNNNNNNNNNNNNNNNNNNNNNNNNNNNNNNNNNNNNNNNNNNNNNNNNNNNNNNNNNNNNNNNNNNNNNNNNNNNNNNNNNNNNNNNNNNNNNNNNNNNNNNNNNNNNNNNNNNNNNNNNNNNNNNNNNNNNNNNNNNNNNNNNNNNNNNNNNNNNNNNNNNNNNNNNNNNNNNNNNNNNNNNNNNNNNNNNNNNNNNNNNNNNNNNNNNNNNNNNNNNNNNNNNNNNNNNNNNNNNNNNNNNNNNNNNNNNNNNNNNNNNNNNNNNNNNNNNNNNNNNNNNNNNNNNNNNNNNNNNNNNNNNNNNNNNNNNNNNNNNNNNNNNNNNNNNNNNNNNNNNNNNNNNNNNNNNNNNNNNNNNNNNNNNNNNNNNNNNNNNNNNNNNNNNNNNNNNNNNNNNNNNNNNNNNNNNNNNNNNNNNNNNNNNNNNNNNNNNNNNNNNNNNNNNNNNNNNNNNNNNNNNNNNNNNNNNNNNNNNNNNNNNNNNNNNNNNNNNNNNNNNNNNNNNNNNNNNNNNNNNNNNNNNNNNNNNNNNNNNNNNNNNNNNNNNNNNNNNNNNNNNNNNNNNNNNNNNNNNNNNNNNNNNNNNNNNNNNNNNNNNNNNNNNNNNNNNNNNNNNNNNNNNNNNNNNNNNNNNNNNNNNNNNNNNNNNNNNNNNNNNNNNNNNNNNNNNNNNNNNNNNNNNNNNNNNNNNNNNNNNNNNNNNNNNNNNNNNNNNNNNNNNNNNNNNNNNNNNNNNNNNNNNNNNNNNNNNNNNNNNNNNNNNNNNNNNNNNNNNNNNNNNNNNNNNNNNNNNNNNNNNNNNNNNNNNNNNNNNNNNNNNNNNNNNNNNNNNNNNNNNNNNNNNNNNNNNNNNNNNNNNNNNNNNNNNNNNNNNNNNNNNNNNNNNNNNNNNNNNNNNNNNNNNNNNNNNNNNNNNNNNNNNNNNNNNNNNNNNNNNNNNNNNNNNNNNNNNNNNNNNNNNNNNNNNNNNNNNNNNNNNNNNNNNNNNNNNNNNNNNNNNNNNNNNNNNNNNNNNNNNNNNNNNNNNNNNNNNNNNNNNNNNNNNNNNNNNNNNNNNNNNNNNNNNNNNNNNNNNNNNNNNNNNNNNNNNNNNNNNNNNNNNNNNNNNNNNNNNNNNNNNNNNNNNNNNNNNNNNNNNNNNNNNNNNNNNNNNNNNNNNNNNNNNNNNNNNNNNNNNNNNNNNNNNNNNNNNNNNNNNNNNNNNNNNNNNNNNNNNNNNNNNNNNNNNNNNNNNNNNNNNNNNNNNNNNNNNNNNNNNNNNNNNNNNNNNNNNNNNNNNNNNNNNNNNNNNNNNNNNNNNNNNNNNNNNNNNNNNNNNNNNNNNNNNNNNNNNNNNNNNNNNNNNNNNNNNNNNNNNNNNNNNNNNNNNNNNNNNNNNNNNNNNNNNNNNNNNNNNNNNNNNNNNNNNNNNNNNNNNNNNNNNNNNNNNNNNNNNNNNNNNNNNNNNNNNNNNNNNNNNNNNNNNNNNNNNNNNNNNNNNNNNNNNNNNNNNNNNNNNNNNNNNNNNNNNNNNNNNNNNNNNNNUUAUACAGAGGAAAAAGACUACCUUUUACCAAAAGGAAAUUAAAAUGCUCCAUCUUUUCUCACAAUGGCUUAAAGUAUUAUUCCCUCUCCCCCACAAAACAACAUCAACUAGGAACAAAUUACACCAUCUCCCCCCAACUAGCUUUCUUUUUCUUCUCUAUCUAUCUUUUGAGAGCACACAUGUCAUACACAGCUUGGCCUCCAUUGUAUAUGUUCAGAUGGAACUAGUGACAAAAAUGGAUGUCAAAAUGAGAGAUCGGAGAUGUAUAUAUAUUGUUCAAUUGCUUUGAAUUUCAUUUGGUCAAAUACAUAAGAUAGAAGAUAAAAGAUAAAUGCUACUCAGAUGUUCAUUUUAUAAGGUAUGUUGGCUUCAAAUUCAGGACAUCUAAAUUAUCAGACAGACAGCUCUAACACAAAAGCAAAUAUUAAUUUUUAUCUCUUCGAGACCUAUAGAAAAUGUCUCAUACAUCUAUGGACUAUCCAACACGAUGUAUCUUAAAUAUGAUCUAAUUUUAGGGCUAGGUUUACUGCUUGACUAUGCUUUUAAAUAGACACUUUUUUUGUUACAUUAUAGAAUUAGAGUUUUUUUAUUCAAUAGUACAUCAACUAAUUCCUAUUAGUUUUAACAUUCUGAAAUUGUUAUGUAAUCUUAAUCUUCUUCAAUAUCUAAAGAAAACAUCUCAUUCGUAUGUGGAUUGAUUAGCCGACAUAACAUCAAUGAACCACUAAUUUGUCAUAACAUCUAAAUAGCCGUUACGAGCUUCAGCUACGACAACAUAUAUGUAUGAAGCUAUGAGUAGUGGUGGUCAUGAUCAUCAUCAUCCAUUACAAAAGAAUCGAUCCCUCUUCACAUAUAAUCAGCACAAUAUCAAAAGGAAUGAAAACCAAACACAUGCAAGAAGGUAGCUAGCUUUUCCUUGUGGGGAGGGGAUUGGAUUCCCUUUUCUCACUACUACCCUCUAAAAAUUUGGCAGACUUUUUUGUCAUGGGGGAACAAGUCAACGAGAAAAGCUCUCAUCACAACUUUUGUUUUGCUUGCUUGUUUGUUUAUUGGGAGAGGGUUUGUUGCAAAGCCAAAGAGCUUAAUUAGCUCAACGAGGAAAGAAUAUUAUUACCACUCUCUCACUCUAUCUCUAGUAAUGGUGCUUCCCACUGAGGUGGUGCAUGGUGGCAUCGAAUUAAUGGCAUUUGUGACAGAACAUUAAUCCAUGCUUUGGUGAGUGUGUGUGUGUCUCUGUGGAAUAUGUCUUGUGCACUUGGGGGGAUAAACCGGUUGUUUCCCACUAUACUCACGGGACUAUUUACUAAUACAUUUAUACUUAAAGUUAAUGAGAUGUAACAGUUCCCGGUAUGGUAUCAGAUUCUGAAAAGAUUAAGAGGUUUUUGUUUGGAAUUUUGGUAGCCUCUACUAUCUGUAUAACGUAACUCAAUUCCUCAGAGAGCUUCUGUUUUACCAUAAUAACUUUUUUAGUCCAAUUUAGCUAUUCUUGAUAGAUUCUCACAAUAAAAGUGGAAUCGGAGAGGAGUUCGAAUGAGGUUCGACUUACUUCACUUUCGAUCAAGAGCAUUGAAUUUAGGUUAGAAGUAAUUGAUCAUGGUGUCUUUUUCAUGAGAGUAUGAUGGUAAACGUGCAUCCACAUAAUAAUGAGAUGUCCUAAAGACUUGAAAAGAGAGUGUCGAGGGAGUAUAAUGUUCCCUUCUUGGGCUUGGAUAGCUAAGCUAUAGCUAAUAAGGUUUGCUGUCGAUCCAUUGAUAGGUGCAUGCAUGGCUUCCUUUGAGAAGUGUGUGCAAUACAAUUGCUAUAAACAUCAAGUGUGUGCAAUACAAUUGCUAUAAACAUCAAGUUCCCCUGUUUCUGGUGGUUAAGUCUGACCACCGACCAUGUGUGACAAGCCUAUAUGUGCUUGGUGUGGCUGCAGUUUGAUUCGUUCUUCACGGUCGAUAUAUCCAAGGGUGGAGAUCUAUCUUCUCGGAUGUUGAGAUAACAAUCCAAGUACUACAUGAUGUAAAUUUGUGACAAACUUUUUUCUAGCUCAACAGAAAGCAUACUAGUAUGAGUUAUUUUUGGAGGGAAUUUAGAAAAUAAAUUAAAUAUAUUAGCAUUUUACCCGGCUUGGCCGGACACAUUGAUUUGUAUCUUUUUAAAAUAUAAUUAUAAGAUUCAAUCUUAAUAAACUAAGGGAACACAAGUGUUUAUAAUCAAUCACCUAAUUUAAUGUUACAAUAUAUACAACAAUGUAUUUUAAUUUACUUAGUUUUAGUGGGGCAAUACCAUAUUAUAGUAAAAGUUGACGUGUCACUAUUGAUUUUUCAAAUAUUUAUAAUAUAUGAUAAAAUAUUAUAUAUAAAUUUUGAUAAACUUUAUUUCAUGCGCUUGCUAUUGCUAACAUGAUGUACUUUUAUUGUUUGUAAAUGGAUCUCGAUGAACUAUAAUUUUUGAUAGGACAUCUCUAUCAUUAAAAAUAGAAAUAGUAAAUUUAUGAAAAUACUAAACCUUUAGUUUAAAUAUAUAACAUUCAAUUAUUUAGCACUUAAAUUCGAUAAUUAAACAUAUAUUUAUAAAAUAAAUUCUGAUGACUUUGUUAUUUUCAUAUUAAUCUGUAUUUUUUNNNNNNNNNNNNNNNNNNNNNNNNNNNNNNNNNNNNNNNNNNNNNNNNNNNNNNNNNNNNNNNNNNNNNNNNNNNNNNNNNNNNNNNNNNNNNNNNNNNNNNNNNNNNNNNNNNNNNNNNNNNNNNNNNNNNNNNNNNNNNNNNNNNNNNNNNNNNNNNNNNNNNNNNNNNNNNNNNNNNNNNNNNNNNNNNNNNNNNNNNNNNNNNNNNNNNNNNNNNUUUUUAAUCUGAAAAUACUUAUUAUAUUAUAUACGGUUGAUACGAGUUUGACCCCAAACACACAACAUCAUAUAAAUGUAGACUUUUAGUCAUAGUGUAAUCCAAACAACUUAUAUCAAAGCCUAAUUGAUAGAAAAUAAGAUCAAUCGUAAAGUACGACUUGUCAUUUAUAAUCUCAAAUCAACCCAACUCAAAUCUCAAAAUCAAACAAUCACCAUAAUCUAUCAAUUGUCUCAAUAGUUCAUACGUUCAUCAUUUAAAUGGUUAAUUUGCAUCCCUUCUCAAUGAUGUCAAAUGAUACCACAUGUAGUUUUUUUUUACAAGUGGCCAGCAGGUUUGACGUGGAGAAAGUCAAAUUUACUCAAUCCAUGCAGCAUCCUUGUUUUGUUUGUUUGUGCGAUAUCAUUCACUUUCUUUUGGAAAAGUAAACAAAACCCCCCCGUAACUUUAGUCGUAAAUGUUCCAACUUUUACCAAACUCUUUUCGCCAGCUUUCACGUUUGCUCAUAAUAAUUACAGUGUGCGUCAUCAUGCAUGCUACCUGGUUACAACGUGUAGUAAUCCUAAUCAGUCGCCUUUUCGAAUUGAGCUUCGCGACAUUUGUUUCGAUCGGGCAUGCGAGUUGUGGAGUCUGAUACGAGGCUUAGGUGGCCAUGGCCCCCUCGAGAUGUUAAGAGACCAGCGAUUUAGUCUUGCAAGCUAACGAAAUUUGAUCGCCGUUGACCGAUCACUAUGGUCUGUUUUUAACUGCCCUGAUCGACUCCUGCCACAGGAAUCUAUUUCAAGUUCAACACAUGAAAUUUUAAAUUUUAAAUUUUUGUAUGUUGAGGCCAAUUUAUUUAAUUUACACUCUGUCCCACCGCAUCUCAACAUGAAUCACUCCACUCUUUGAAUUGAUGAGAUGGUACUUCUCAUUAAUCCUUCCAUUAUACACAACAUCAUCCAGAUUCACUUCCACAUACCCCAGUGAUUCCUGCAACAAUUUCAACCCAUCACAUUCCAACAGCAUUCUCUGAACGAAUGUUCAUAUAUAUGACCCAAAAGAGCGAGGACACAUUACCCUUGAUCUGAAGCUGAAACCUGUUCUUUUGCUCAAGACCUCGAUUCGGAUCUUCUCCCGCAGAGGAGGAUGGUCCAUCAUGAACUGAAACUCCUCGUUCCAACGUGGGUUGCGAGCUUUCCGAAUCAUCUGAAAACACACACACAAAUGUCACAUUACAUGUUGGCUCACAGUAGGUUGAUGUUUUGAAAGCUUGUUGAACAAGUUAACCUUAGUUUUCUUCCUUUCUCCUCUGAAGAGGACCGUAGCAUAGGGAUUGUUGUGGUUGUGUCCUUCUACAUCCUCUGCAGAUUGUACUCGUAUCGAGAGUAAACUCGGUCCAUUUAGUGAAUCGUCAUAAGGCUGGUUUUCCUUCCCACUCGAUCCUUUACUGCUGUGUCCAUCUAGGAUACUGAGUGAACUGUCUUCUUUGAAAGGCACAAGGGUCAACUCAAUCACAAGCUGCCCUCUUUGUUUUCUGUCGCGAGGAUCACAAGCCUCGGUGCUCUUGAGCAAGUCGAGAGUGAGAUGUUUUGGCUCCUGGGGUGUCAUUGUCUUCAAGGGCACGGCUUGCAUUCCCAAUGGGUCAUGGGCACCAACCUAGGUGAAAACCGUCGAAAACCAGAUCGUAUCAAUGCUCGCUCGGAAUGUUAUAAAAACUAAGUAUGAACUUCUCCCAACAACUCGAGUUAUUGGGAUGCAAGAGCUUUCUCACUGUCCAAUUUGACUAAGAGGUCAUCGGAUCGAAUACUGUCAUCCCACAAUAUAACAGUUUCAUAUGCACAAGGGCUUGGUGGACCUCUGCAAAUUUCACUCCCCUUUCAUGGGCUUCUCUCCCAACAACUCAACUUAUUGGGAUGCAACAGUUUUGUAAAACUGAUGCGACAUUUGCUGCUUUUACCUUGUCCCAAUCAAGCACAUGAAGAUGAAGAGCUUGAGAACCAGGAUCCUUAACAACAAGCCUGAAGCUUUCAUUCCAAACAGGAUUCAGAUUCUGCUUCUUGAUUGUGGUCUUCUUAGCAGAUAAUUUGUCUCCACUCAGACUUAGCUUCACGUACGGAUCAGAAGUUCCGACGAUAUCAGCCUUCAUGAGUUUCGUAGCCCGAACUACCUUCACAUUCAGUAUUCCCACCGGUUUCUUUACACCAACUCUGUAAUGUACUCACAAUAGUUUUUGCAUUAAGGAUCUAGCAAAAGGUUCAAACUUCUUCUGGUAAUAAAGCAAAAGGGUUUGAACUGUUUGAUUUUUCACUCACGUUGAAGGAUCAAGGACAGGUAUUUCAAGGAUCCGAGGCCAAAUGUACAUACUUGUUAUCUGCUUUUCGAUCGUUUUCUGCAGGGGUACCGAAAAAGUCCGUUACUCCAAGUGAAACUAGACCUUGUUCUUCACACUUCGAUGGUAAAGUAACAACCAUUUAAGCAUUACCAGCUUAGCACCUGAACAAAUCCAUGAAGACCAGGUAUGGACAUGAUAUCUCCUCCAGAAAUUUCAAGCCCGAAGUCCACCCGAGGCUGCAAAUAUAAGUUCAUCAAUCGAAGAAACAGCUAACCAGUUCGAGUUUGGAACCGGUUUACAACUUACUCUAUCCAGUAAAGACACCACAAUGUUGGCAAAACAUGGGAAAGCUGGCGCAAGAGGCUUCAAGGAUAUCCUUGGUGCUGCAAAUACUUGCAGAUCAACCAACUGCAUGGAAGCAUUGUCCAUUCGUGGUUGAGUAAUGUUAUCUUAUCUUCCAUCAGAACUGGAAAAGUAUCGAUCUUUCGUACCUGAACAGUAAUUGGUAUAGACAUUAAUUUCAACACCAAAGUUAUGUUGGGAUUGCCUGCCCACCUAACUGCUGGUUCCAGAACUAUAUCAUUCUCAUUGGUGUCCAACACUUUAAGACCAUGGACAGUGGGAGGAAGAGUUCCAAGACUGAGAUGCUCAAACUCGAUAGCUUCGAUGCCAUACUUCCCAAUGCACUCUGCGAAGAUCGGCUCACUCGUGGUUUUAAUUGAAGCACAUAUGGCCUGUGUGCAAUGUGCAUGAUCCCAAACUCCAAACUUAGCAGGUUUAUCAGCAAAAAUUCAAUAAGCUAUAUGGCUAGUCAAGUUAUACCAUAUUUCUACUUACCUUAUCAAGAUAUGGCCACAUCGCCAAGACAAACUUGUUGAACCAAUCCACCUGCAAAAAAAUCACAAUAUACCAUAUAUGAUCACCAAAGCAGCAAGCUAAUGGCUUG
rnacentral:lncRNA from 1 species